rnacentral:lncRNA from 1 species
AAAAUCUAAAUACGACAUGAAUCUAACAAUUACGAGUAAUGUCUUUGUGACAAGAACUUUCUUUGUCUUUUAUUCCCAUGUUUGAACUAGUAUAGGUCGGGGUUACACAUUAUGGUGCACAUCACUUUAUUUAUCAUCGUUACAUUGAACGCUCAUUGACUAAACAACGAUGAUCCAUCCAUCUUGUAUUGUAGGUCUUCAUUUCAUUGGCCACCGAUGCUUGUAAGACUAGUCUCAUAUGGUUGUUGUUGUGGAUAUGGUUGUUGAGGUUGGUGUGGUUGCUGGGGUUGCUGGGAAAUUGUUUGUUCUGGUUGCUGGGAUAAUUGUUGUUGGGGCUGUAGAAAUGGUUGUUGUGGUUGUUGGGGUAAUGGUUGUUGUGGUUGCAGGAUGGAUGGUUGUUGGGGUUGCUGGGGUUGGGGCUGGGGAAAUGAUUGUUGUGAUUGUUGGGGUUGCUGGGGAAAUGGUUGUUGCGGUCCUAGGAGGAAUGAUUAUUGUGGUUGUUGGGGGAAUGGUUGUUGNNNNNNNNNNNNNNNNNNNNNNNNNNNNNNNNNNNNNNNNNNNNNNNNNNNNNNNNNNNNNNNNNNNNNNNNNNNNNNNNNNNNNNNNNNNNNNNNNNNNNNNNNNNNNNNNNNNNNNNNNNNNNNNNNNNNNNNNNNNNNNNNNNNNNNNNNNNNNNNNNNNNNNNNNNNNNNNNNNNNNNNNNNNNNNNNNNNNNNNNNNNNNNNNNNNNNNNNNNNNNNNNNNNNNNNNNNNNNNNNNNNNNNNNNNNNNNNNNNNNNNNNNNNNNNNNNNNNNNNNNNNNNNNNNNNNNNNNNNNNNNNNNNNNNNNNNNNNNNNNNNNNNNNNNNNNNNNNNNNNNNNNNNNNNNNNNNNNNNNNNNNNNNNNNNNNNNNNNNNNNNNNNNNNNNNNNNNNNNNNNNNNNNNNNNNNNNNNNNNNNNNNNNNNNNNNNNNNNNNNNNNNNNNNNNNNUGCAGGGGGAAUGGUUGUUGGGGAAUUAUUUGUUCUGGUUGCUGGGGGAAUGGUAGUUGGGGCCGGGGAAAUGGUUGUUGGGGUUGCUGGGGGAAUGGCUGUUGUGGUUGCAGAGGGAAUGAUUGUUGGGUCUGGGGAAAUGGUUGUUGUGAUUGCUGGGAAAAUUGUUGUUGGGGUGUGGGAAAUGGUUGUUGCGAUGGAUAUGGUUGCUGUGAUGGAUAUGGUUGUUGUGGAUAUGGCUGUUGUAGAAAUGGUUGUUGUUGAUAGGAAAAUGAUUGUUGAGGUGAUUGUAAUUCUUUGUUGCUAGGGUUUAGCUGCCUAGCGGCAGUGGCGAUGUUCAUCGCCAUGGCAAGGAGGACAAAGAUGAGGAAGGUCUUCAUGUUGGAUUUGUGGUUACUACUGCUUGCUUGCUUUUGAUGCUUGUGGUCUAGGUGUGUGAAGUUUGGAUGAUGAAAUGUGGUCUUGGUGGUGCAUGUGUAUUUAUAGUUUUCAUGGCAUGGCUUGCUUUCUUCUUCCCACUCGCUUUUUGAAAAAGUGCACCAAUGCUUAUCCAACUAAUCAUUUGAUUUGUUGUGUUUGGUGCAACUACUUACUAGCAAGAUUUUGGAUUUUCAUGAUAGUUGCUUUUUGUUGAAAUCAUCUGGUUGUAAGGAAUGUUGGAUAAUGACCAAUGACUCAUCUUCUUCACUUUACACUGCAAACAUUGAUCUAAAUUAUAUCCUUUUUUGAAAUUUAGUUUGUGAAGCUCUACAUGUUGUUAGGCUUAUCUAUAUUGGCAUAGCUUGAGUGGAAUUAAGUUUGUAAGCUUGUGAGCGUCAUUAUGAUGGAUCACACUAUUAAUGUGAUGAUUGUACUACAAAUUAUCUUUCCAAAACUAAUUUUAUGUUUUUUCCCAAUAUGAUUCUAAGACGGAUAACCAGACAUGACUCAUCAAAUAACAAGAUAAACCGAGUAGCAAAUUGGGGUUAUAAGUUAUAACAUGGACUUUUCUCUAAGAUACACUAUCUUGUCUUGCAUGCUCUGUGAAUUUGAAAAGCAUCUACUAAUUUAUAUGCAAUUGAAACAAAAGUAGACCAGAAAGAUAAGCAAUGAAAUGAGAAUACUAUUAUGUGAAGCUCUACAUGUUUGGCAAGCAAUAAGAUACUGGAUACAUCUAUAUCUUCAAUCCUGACAAUUUUUCUCAUCCCUAUCAACUCUUUAUUGGCUGCCUUUACUGUAGUCAUCCCUUAAAUAAAAAUCACUUAAAGAUAAGUUUGGGAGCUAGUACCAGCAUCUAUCAUGUACAAGAUAAAAAACUAAGGCACAUAUAGUAGUCUAUUGACUAUAUUUAAUUUCAUGUGAUGUGAAAGCAUGUGGAGUAUAAGUUGGUUAAAUAUAAAAUUGUCCUUCAUACCAGUAGGGAAAGAAUAUGCAGUAUAAAGAUUAGAGCAUUAUUAAUAUGCUAUUAAAUGCUACAGGAUAAUCGAUAGUUCAAGUUAAGAACAACAAUAGCAUUCCAACUUUUGUUUUGUGCAAGUUAAGAACAUGCUAACAAAGUAACCUAAGCAAAUAAGUGCAACACCUUCACCUAUAAGGAAAUUUUGAAACUACACAAAAUGACCUAUUGUAAAGAAGGAAAAAAAUCUAAAGGUGAAUGAAAAGCAUGUUAAGUACAUUCAGGAUUCGGUUAUGCCUUCAUGGAUAACCUUUUAGAUGGUGACUUGUCAACCUUGAUGUGUGUCGGCAUGGAACGAGGACAAGAAGACAUCGUUACGUCGUACUUUGGGAAUUUCAUCAAACUGGUUGUGUGCGGGAACAAAUAUUUGUCGCCUCCCUGCUCAAAUCUCUCUUCAUGUCACUAAAUCCGACACUCCACCUACCAAAAUCAGCUGCAAGCCAGGGACAAUCAACAGGUUUCUCCGCCCGUAGCAUCUAUCACCAAAAGAAGUUCAGACUAUAGUCUUGUAGUUUAAAAUUUUGUAAUAACAAGCACUACUAGGUUGCUCUUGUUUGUACGUCUUCAUUAUGUACAACCCAUGGAACUUAAAAUGCAUGGGUCAUUCUUCGGUAUAUACAACCAAUGCAACCAAACAUGCAUUGGGCUUUUCUUUGUACAUCUUCAGGUUCUACAACCAAUGCAACAAAAAAUCCAUUGGGCAGUCUUCCAUUCUAGUCGGGCACCAAUAGUUAAACGAGGAGCUAAACAGUGUUGGAGUCUAAAACUACAUACAAUCAUGAAGCAGAGAGAUGCGACUUGGAAGUUGUGCUCCUGUGAGCUCGUAUUUUUGAAGAAAAAAGUAAUAUUUGUAUUUUGAAGUGGGAAAAAGUCCUAAAAAGGGAUGUUUUGCGGGUUAUAACUUACUAUUUUUGAGUCCUGGGCUGCAGGAAGGUCGUAAAAAAUCAAUGUGUUUUCCCAUUCAUGCAUGUUUCUUGGGUUAUAGGUCACGCUUUUGGUGUCCUAGGGAGAUCACUUCCCCAGUUGGGAACAUUAGGUGAUGAUUUUUAGCAAAACUCAUUGUUUUAGCCUAACUAGUUUCGAGGAUUGGUGGACAAGAUUAUCAUGGAACAAAGUGACAACCUUCCUUUUCUUCAUGCCUAAUAUAAACUUAGCAGUCAACUAAAAGUAACUAGCGAUAUCACAGAAUGUUUUUUUGUCAAAAGUAGAUACCACUUCAGGAUUCAACUCGGUUAGUUCAAUCAUAGACAUGUUAAGAGCAGGAUUUACAACUAACUGCAUAGGGAACAUCUCCUUUUAUCGCCCACUAUCUGUCUAUGCACUUUGGUUUUCCCGUAGCAGCACACAAAGCACUUUGUUAGUACCAAUAAUGUGCUCCAACUCUACACAUUAAUCAUCUUGAAUUCUUCUACUGAUGUCGAACAAUGUUAUAUCUUGAAUUCUUCUAACGAGUUCAGAUUAUACUACAUGGGCAAUUUAUCUGGUCCCUGAGAUGCAAGGUCGAUGAACAAUCGCUUCGUCUGAUGAUGAGGGAUUGUUUUUGCCUAAGAAACCAAUACAUGUAACUUCGACGCCAGAUUAAUAAUUGGUAAAACCCAAAUAAAUUAGAUCACGAGCUAAACCAUUUAAUUUUGUAUGCAUUUAAACUUUUGAUACAUAUGAGCUUGUUAAGAUGUUCGCAUAAACACCAUGGUGAUUUGAAGCAAGACAAAGUAAACUUGAACCGCUUGAGCCACUGACUUAAUAAGAACCUCCUUUCCCGUGGCAGAGAUCGUUUUUAAUACAUCCACUCACUUUGGUUCUCUUAUGAAAUCUAGAUUCCUUCGCUAAGGCUAUUGCUCCAGUAUUGUCACAAAAGAUUUUUGUUGGACCCGAUGCACUAGGUAUGACACCUAGAUCGGAUAUGAACUCCUUCAUCCCGACUCCUUCAUUUGCUACUUCCGAAGCAGCUAUGUACUCCUCUUCACAUGUAGAUCCCUCCACGACGCUUUGCUUGAAACUGCACCAACUGACAGCUCCACCAUUCAAUAUAAAUACGUAUCCGGUUUGUGACUUAGAGUCAUCCAGAUCAGUGUCAAAGCUUGCAUCAACGUAACCAUUUACAACGAGCUCUUUGUCACCUCCAUAAAUGAGAAACAUAUCCUUAGUCCUUUUCAGGUAUUUCAAGAUGUUCUUGACCGCUAUCCUAUGAUCCACUCCUGGAUUACUUUGGUACCUCCCUGCUAAACUGAUAGCAAGGCACACAUCUGGUCUGGUACAUAGCAUUGCAUACAUGAUAGAACCUAUUGCUGAAGCAUAGGGAAUGACUUUCAUUUUCUCUCUAUCUUCUGCAUUGGUCGGGCAUUGAGUCUAACUCAACUUCACACCUUGUAACACAGGCAAGAACCCUUUCUUUCCUUGAUCCAUUUUGAACUUCUUCAAAACUUUAUCAAGGUAUGUGCUUUGUGAAUGUCUAAUUAACCGUCUUGACCUAUCUUUAUAGAUCUUGAUGCCCAAUAUAUAAGCAGCUUCACCGAGGUCUUUCAUUGAAAAAUUCUUAUUCAAGUAUCCUUUUAUGCUAUCCAGAAAUUUCGUAUCAUUUUCGAUCAACAAUAUGUCAUCCACAUAUAAUAUCAGAAAUGCUACAAAGCUCCCACUCACUUUAUAAAGGCUUCUCCAAAAGUCUGUAUAAAACCAUAUGAUUUGAUCACACUAUCAAAAUGUAUAUUCCAACUCUGAGAGGCUUGCACCAAUCCAUAAAUGGAUCACUGGGCUUGCACACUUUGUUAACACCUUUUGGAUCGACAAAACCUUUUGGUUGCAUCAUAUACAACUCUUCUUUAAGAUAUCCAUUAAGAAAUGCAGUUUUGACAUCCAUUUGCCAAAUUUCAUAAUCAUAAAAUGCGGCAAUUGCUAACAUGAUUUGGACAGACUUAAGCAUCGCUACGGGUGAGAAGGUCUCAUCAUAAUCAACUCCUUGAACUUGUCGAAAACCUUUCGCAAAAAGUCGAGAUUUGUAGACAGUAACAUUACCAUCAUCGUCAGUCUUCUUCUUGAAGAUCCAUUUAUUCUCUAUGGCUUGCCGAUCAUCGGGAAAGUCAACCAAAGUCCACACUUUGUUCUCAUACAUGGAUCCCAUCUCAGAUUUCAUGGCCUCAAGCCAUUUCGAGGAAUCUGGGCUCAUCAUUGCUUCCUCAUAGUUUGUAGGUUCAUCAUGGUUGAGUAACAUGACCUCCAGAACAGGAUUACCAUACCACUCUUGUUGGGAAUAUGACUACCAGGUAUGACCCGCCCAGGAGGGGCCGGGUCAAUCCUAAUGGCGGGUUACUAAAAGAAGCUCAGUGAAUAUACAAGGCGAUAGUUUAUUAUAAGACUUGUAGUAGGACCAAGCCCAAAGGCGGGUUAAGGCCCAUAAUUGUAAACCGCCAUGUAUAAGAAAGAAUUGUAAAGAAAGGCAUGUAAGAGAAGUCACCGAGCCGGGCACGUUAUAUGAGCCGGCUGGGACUCUGUAGGCCGCCAGGCGUCAACCCGUGUAUAUAAGGGGACGACCCGGUGGCGGCUUAGGGCAAGUAACAUCAAAUCGAGAGCCAUGCAUAGCGUAUUUGCUCCCUGGUCAUCGAAACCUAGCAAUACCACAUCAACUGGACUAGGCUUUACCUUCACCGUAGGGGGCCGAACCAGUAUAAACCUUUCGUGUCCUUUGUCCCGAUUAACCCCUUUAAGCUUCCUAGUUGCGAUGGCUCCACGACUAAGUCCUUUCAGUAGGACAUCUGCCGUGACAAUUCCACGACAGUUGGCGCCCACCGUGGGGCCAUCGCACGAUGGAUUUGAGUUCUUGAAGGGCAGCUUCCAAGGGCUCAAGGGAUACGCUGUGGGCCGGAUAACCAAAAGUUGUCACAGCAAGCUCUACAUCGACGACGCAGGCUGGGGCCCCGAGGCUGGCUCAAUCGAGUACGGGUACCGGGUCCCCUUCGGCGGAAUCCACGUCUUCAUCGGCCGGAUCGGCGAGCCGGGCCCUGAGUCGGACAUCUGCACCGACCUCAUCGAGAUGGCUCAGCGAGUGAGACCUGCCCGGGCUCAACCUGCCGUGAGGCGUGCCUUCGUGGGUUGCAUCCAUGGAGGGGAAUUUUCUGAAGGAUCGAUGGACGGUGGUGAGACAGUCGUUUGCUCUAGCAGUGAGUCGUCCAUAGGCGAGACAGAUUCUUUGUAUCAGCUACAAGAUGGCGGGCUUGGGGGCUGUUCCGAUGGCAGUAGUAUUCCGGACCCCUCUGAGCCGCCGAAUCGAGCCGGAGUCUUCAUGGCUGGCACUCAACCUGGUUAGAAUUCUAUGGCUGCGGCAGCAAUAACCACUGGGUCAGCAGGGGCCGGGUCAGGAGACCCCGCGCGCCCACCGGCUCAGGUACUAAUGGACCUCAUGGAUAGGAUGACGGCCCUGUUGACUGCUGUGGUUGAGCCGGCAGAUAAGGCUCAGCAUGACGCAGAGGUAGCACAGCUACACAGAGAGGUAGCACAGGCCAAGGAAAAUUUAGUGGCGGAAGAUGUCAGGAUGGCCGCGGAACGGGCGGCUCUGGAUGCACGGGCUCGGCAGCUUCAAGCGAAGACUUUCUGGCUCUCGGUGGAUCUGAACGCAUCAAACGAGGUCACGAGGAGAAGGCACCAGAAGGCUCAAUCAUGUCUGCCUCUGACUUACGAUCCUAGGAACCUUUUUCACACACCCGGGACUGGUCCCAGUAACCCGCUGAAGGCAAACCGGAUCACAACACCCGGGACCGGGACGCCGGUUCAACCGCGGGCCAUGGAACCACCGCGUGUGAAUACUGCUCUGCCUCACUACACAGCGAUACCACCGGGUCACUUCUCUAACCCCUUGGAGAACCUUAUUGCUGCGUCGGCUCAUCUGGCGGCUCUCCCGAUGGAAGGUGACUCUUCGACGGCGAUCGAGACACGACGGGUCAGAGAACUUCUUCAGACGGCUCUGGCACAGCAGGAUGCAUAUUCUUAUAGUUGAGAUAGAAUCCAUUCAACCCCUCGCCCAAGCCGGAGCCCAAGCUAUAGCAGGCAUAUGGACUCGGCGGCCAUGUCAAGCAACACCCAGCGCCGUAACCAUCCACGUGGGCGUGACCCGGCCCCGGGCGGAGCUUGUAACUUGGUAGACCAGGAGAGGAUCCGUCAAGAGGCUGAACGGGUGGUUCAACAGGCGGCUGAGCAAGCGGCUCACCAAGCUUUUCCAAUUUAUACAGUGACCUCUGUUGAAGCAGGGGUGGCCACAAGGACAGGAGGAGUCCCUUGUCUUGUGCAGUCUCUGCGUAAUGAGCGUUUACCAAAGGACUUUAAGGGGCCUCGUAAGGUGCCCAAUUACACAGCCGACCUGCAGCCCGGAGCAUGGAUUGAAAGUUACGAGAUGGCCAUGGAGUUAUUAUAAGUCAGUGACGCAGCAAUGGCCAAAUACUUCACCAUGAUGUUGGAUGGAACAGCUCGUACUUGGUUAAAGGGGUUACCGCCCAACUCCAUCGGCUCAUGGGCGGAGUUGAAGGCACGGUUCAUUCAGAACUUUAAAGAUACCUGUAAACAGCCCAUGUCAAUCGUGGACUUGACUAACUGCAAGCAAGAGGAAGGCAAAUCCAUGACCCAUUGGGUGCGCCGGGUCAAGGAAAUAAUACAUUCAUCUGAUAAGAUGGAUGCCAGCUCCACGGUCUUAAUGUUGGAGAAAAAUUACCGUUUUGAACCUCUGAAACAGAAGCUGGGGCGGCUCAAGCAUGAUUGUAAUGACAUGGGCCAGUUGAUGGCGGCUCUGGUCAAAUAUGCUGACUCUGACAGUACCAAGGAUCCCAUGUCUGACGAAGAGAAGACGAGGAAGGGAAAGAAGAACGGCAACGGCAAGGGUCACCAGCAUAACCCGACAAAUCAAGGAGGUAAUAAACGCAAGGCUGACGAGUUUGUGGCUAACACCAAUGCACAUGGCAACAACCAAUGGCGCAAGGGGAGGCCACCUCCUCGGUCAGGCGGAUCAGGUCCCACCCUCGAGCAACUACUAAAUGAACCCUGUCCGGGACAUGGCACCCGGGAGAAGCCGGCUACCCAUCUGUGGAAGGAUUGUACGAUCAUGAAGGCUUUUAAGAAUUCUAACAUGUUUGAUGGUAACCACGGGCCUGCUGGCGGCUCAGGCGGUGGCGGUUUUCAUGGCCAAGGCCAUCCGGGUAGUCAAGGCGAUUAUAGUCAGCAAUCCGGCCAGGGCAGUCAGCAACAGCAGCAACAGCCCGUGUAUCAGAGUAACCCAAAACAGCUGAACAGUGGACAGUACCAUGUGUUUACCACCAGUUUGUGCAAGAGGGACCAGAAGCUUCAGAAGAGGGAUGUAAAUGCUAUUGAGCCGGCGGUUCCACGUUAUUUGAGAUGGUCUGAACAACCUAUUCUGUGGAGUAGGGAAGAUCACCCACCCCGGGUUGAUAAUCCGGGUCAUCUGGCUUUGGUGGUGGCGCCUCAGGUUGGUGGAUAUAAGUUCACUAAAGUGCUCAUGGACGGAGGCAGUAGCAUCAACGUCCUCUAUUAUGAGACGUUCUGUCGCAUGGGGUUGACUGAUAAGAGUCUUAAAACAUCCAACACUGUUUUUAUGGGGUAGUGCCUGGUAAGUCGGCGUACCCAGUUGGUAAAAUUGAGCUGGAAGUGGCCUUUGGAGAUGAGUAUGAUUCUAGGGCUGAGAAGCUAACUUUUGAAGUGGUUAAAAUCAAGAGCCCAUAUCACGCUCUGUUUGGACGGCCGGCUUAUGCUAAGUUCAUGGCCCGGCCGUGUUAUGUGUAUUUGCAGCUCAAAAUGUUGGGUUAUAAAGGCACUAUCAUAGUACAUGGAAGCCGGAAAAUAGCCCUGGAAUGUGAAGAAGGUGAUGCUGCAUAUGCCGAGUCUGUUUGUGCAACAGAGGAAUUGAAGUUUUAUAAGGAUAAUGUUGACCCGGCAAACAUGGCGUCUUUGAAGAAGCCAACUACGGAGCAUGAGCCGGCAUUGAAAUUCAAGUCCGCUGAUGACACCAAGAUGAUUGAUUUCGUGUCUGGCGACUCAUCCAGACACUUCAUUAUCAGUGCUAACUUGGAUCCAAAAUAGGAAAGCGUGCUCAUCGAGUUCAUCCAUGAGAACCGGGACAUCAUUGCAUGGAAGCCUUCUGACAUGCCGGGUGUUCCGAGAGAACUCGUUGAGCACACUCUCAAUAUUCAUCCAAAGUUUAAGAUGGUCGGGCAAUUUCUUCGGCGGUUUAACGAGGAAAGGUGCAAGGCCAUUGGAGAAGAGGUGGCCCGGCUCUUGGCGGCCGGGUUCAUUGUUGAAGUUUUUCACCCAGAGUGGUUGGCUAACUCGGUGCUUGUGCUUAAAAAGAACGGCACCUGGCGCAUGUGUGUGGAUUACACAAAUUUAAACAAGGCUCGUCCAGCUGAUCCUUUUGCUCUCCCUCGUAUUGAUCAAAUCAUUGAUGCUACGGAGGGUUGUGAGCGUUUGAGUUUUCUGGAUGCUUAUUCGGGUUAUCAUCAGAUCAAGAUGGCAGUUAAGGACCAGGAGAAAACAGCUUUCAUCACUCCGUUUGGAGCCUUCUGCUAUGUGUCUAUGCCUUUUGGGCUCAAGAGUGCCCACGCGACUUAUCAGCGGUGUGUACAAAAUUGCCUUCAUAAUCAGAUUGGGUGUAAUGUUCAUGCUUAUGUGGAUGAUAUAGUGGUGAAAUCCAGAGAGAAGGAAACCUUAGUAGCUGAUCUAAAGGAAACCUUUGGUAACCUCCGGGUCUACAAGAUGAUGCUUAACCCGGCCAAGUGUGUUUUUGGAGUCCCAGCUGGCAAGCUCUUGGGUUUUUUGGUGUCUAAUGGAGGCAUUGAGGCUAACUCGGAGAAAAUAAAGGCAACCACGUCUUUGGCUAAACCGGCAUGCAUCAAUGACGUUCAGCGGCUGGCGGGCCGUGUCGCAGCUUUAAGCCGGUUUAUAAGUCGGUUGGGCGAGAAGGCUAUGCCAUUGUAUCAAAUGAUGAAAAAGGUGGAUGACUUUGUAUGGAGUGACGCUGCUGAUUCCGCUUUUGAAGGUUUGAAAAGACAGCUUGCUGGGCCACCUAUUCUUGCUGCCCCCGUUGAGAAGGAGCCGCUAUUGUUAUAUGUGGCUGCUAACUCACAAGCCGUCGGCAUGGCCAUUAUUGUGGAGCGCAAGGAGGUUGGCAAGGAACAUCCAGUUCAAUGGCCGGUUUACUACGUCAGUGAGGUGCUCAUUGGAUCCAAGAAAAGAUACCCACAUUAGCAAAAACUUGUUUAUGGGGUGUUCAUGGCAAGCCGGAAGCUUAAGCAUUACUUCCAGGGUCAUCCUAUCACUGUGGUUAGCUCUGCUCCUUUAGGAGAUAUUAUUUAGAACAGAGAAGCCACAGGACGAGUCGCCAAGUGGGCCAUUGAGCUUGGGGUCUCAUAAUAUAAAGUAUGUGCCACGUACGGCUAUUAAGUCUCAAGCACUGGUGGACUUCAUUAAUGAUUGGACGGAGUUACAGACACCUGAAGAGAAGCCAGACAACACAUAUUGGACGAUUCAUUUCGAUGGGUCCAGGCAGUUGGAAGGCUCGGGGGCUGGAGUUGUGUUAACUUCUCCUCGAGGUGACAAGUUUUGUUAUGUGUUGCGAUUGAUGUUUCCUUGUACUAACAAUGCAGCAGAAUAUGGGGCCUUGCUCCAUGGUCUUCGAAUGGCUAAAGAGAUGAGUUUAAGACGGGUACGGUGCCUUGGCGACUCAGAUUUGGUGGCUCGGCAGGUGUCAGGCAAGUGGGAUUCCAAGGACCCUCUCAUGGCGGCUUAUCGCCGGGAAGUUGAUGAUGUUGUUGGACAUUUCAAAGGUUAUCAGGUGGAGCACAUUGACCGCAGAAAAAACAAAGCGGCUGAUGCUUUAAGCCGGUUGGGAUCACAGCGUAAGCUGGUGCCACCUAACACUUUUCUAGAUGUUCUUCAAAACCCUUCUGUCAAACUGCCUACAGAGGAAGAUUUGGUCAUUCCAGACCCGGAGGCACAGUUAGUAGCGGCUCUUCAUGUUAUUCCAGAUUGGACAUUACCGUAUUUGGCUUACAUGACCCGGGGUGAGUUGCCAGAGGAUGAGACCUUGGCUCGACAGAUAACCCGACGGUCUAAGUCAAUGACAAUUUCCAAUGGUGAGUUGUAUCAUCGCAGCGUCACUGGAGUGUUUCAACGUUGUGUCUCUCCCGAAGAAGGUCAAGAAAUUCUUCGUGAGAUCCAUGAAGGGGAUUGUGGUCAUCACGCUGGUUCAAAGUCUCUUGUGGCUAAAGCUUUUCGUCAUUGUUUUUACUGGCUAACGGCUCACGCUGAUGCAGAGGAUCUGGUCAGUAGGUGUGAUGGGUGUCAAAAAUUUGCACGACGAGCGCACGUGCCGGCUUAAGAAUUGCGGAUGAUUCCAAUCACUUGGCCGUUUGCAGUCUGGGGGCUUGACAUGGUUGGACCUUUUAAAAGAUCCAAGGAUAAAAAGACACAUCUUUUGGUGGUAGUUCACAAAUUUACAAAAUGGGUUGAGGCAGAGCCGGUUAGUAAGUGUGAUGCAGCCACGAUGGUUCAGUUCAUGAAAAAGGUGAUCUUUCGUUUUGGCUUUCCACAUAGCAUUAUAACUGACAAUGGUACUAAUCUGUCCAAAGGCAACAUGGAGGAGUUUUGUCAAUGUGAGCAUAUCCGGCUUGAUGUUUUGUCUGUAGCUCACCCCCAAUCCAAUGGUCAAGCUGAGAGAGCAAAUCAGGAAAUCCUAAAAGGUCUCAAGCCCGACUUAUGGUUCGUUUACAACGGACGCCGGGUUGUUGGGUGGAGGAAUUACCCUCGGUGCUGUGGAGUAUCAAUACCACUCCUAACAGAUCUACAGGUUAUACACCUUUCUUCAUGGUUUAUGGAGCAGAAGCAGUUCUGCCUAGUGACAUCCGUCAUGACUCACCUCGCGUGGCGGCCUAUGUUGAAGCUGAUAAUGAACAAGCCCGACAGGAUGCACUUGACUUGUUAGAUGAGGAGAGAGAUUUGGCAGUGGCUCAAUCAGCAAUUUAUCAACAAGACUUGCGCCGUUAUCACAGCCGCCGGGUUAAGUCCAGAACCUUUCAAGAAGGUGACCUAGUGCUCCGGCUCAUCCAGGAUCUGUCUGAUGCACACAAGCUAUCCCCGCCUUGGGAAGGACCCUUUGUGGUCAACAAGAACUUAAACAAUGGGUCAUAUUACCUCAUUGAUGUUCGAGAGCACAAAGACCCACGUAAGUCGGAGGAGGAGACCCGCCGGCCGUGGAACAUCGCUCAGCUUCGGCCAUACUACACUUAAACCAUCGGCUCUCAUCAUGUACAUACUUUGACGUUGUAUAUAAUAUGAUAAGUAAUAAAGCAGGACCUCUGUCCUUUUUCCCCUUCAAUGAUCAUAUAUCUUUAUUAUUUUCAUUAUUUAAAAUGACCAUUAGGGGGCUGAUCGUAUCCGAAUCUAGCUUAACCCUUUUGGUCCGGCUCAUGAUCGUAUUCGAAUCUAGCCGUAAAACUCAUGGUCACUUGGGGGCUUCCUGUUCAAACAUAGGUCGUAUUCGAACCAAAGAGAACAUAGCUGUCGUAACCCUCUUGAUCGGCUCAAAGCCAAACUCACUAGGGGGCUUCUUGAUCGUAUCUGAAUCAUAGCUUAACCCCUUUUUGGGUCCAACUUGGAUCGUAUUCGAAUCAGGGUCGUUAAAAACCUCUCAAGGUCAUUUGGGGGCUUCCUAUUCAAACAUAGGUCGUAUUCGAACCAAAGAGAACAUAGCUGUCGGUACCCUCUUGAUCGGCGCAACGCCAAAGCCACUGGGGGCUAUAUGAUCGUAUCCGAAUCUUAGCUUAACCCCUUUGGUCCGGUUUACUGAUCGUAUUCGAAUUAGAAGCCUCCAGUUUUUAUUUAAAUGUUUGAUUUACAUUGUCUGAAGCCUAGUGUUUUAUCUUACUAUUUUUAUCGUCUCAAAUCUAACUGUUAGUAUGGUUUCAAAUUAAACCGGCUUGGCUAUUUGACAAUGUGUCGCCAAGGCAUAACAGUCAUCAGACAUAUGGAAGUAUUGACUUCUAAAAAAGAUUGGGUUAUCAACCUCAUCAUCCGGGUCAUGUAAACCGACAGUCCAUGUUCAAAAACCACAGGUAUGACAGUGUCAUUCAUGAACAGACUUCCCUGGGUUUUUCGUCAGUCAAAGGAUUUUUCAGCCUUGUUUAUCUUACAUCUGGUUCUAUUUUUUCCACUAUGAUAAUUUCAUAAUCAUGUACCGGGUGUUUUGACCCGUCCGGUGCUAAGCCACCGGGACAGUUUUUUUCAUCUUUUACAGGAACAGAGUUAAAACAUUACAGAUGUAACCACGAUGUAAUGCAUAUAUAUAUUGACAUCAUGGGCAAAGAGUCAUAUGAAACAUCUUAUGCACGAUGGCAUAGGCAAAAUAUGCAAUUUUCAAACUAACCUAUUACAAGGCAUUGAGAGCCCAAAAGGUUAAACGGUUUUCUCUCUUAAGCAGGUCUUAAGCUAAAAACUGGAUUGUUCAGAUGGUUAUGACUCCUCCCUGGCCGUUUCACCUCCCUCCACUGGUUGGAAGCUGGGAUUGGACCAGUCAAAGCCGUUCAGAGCAAUGAACUCAGCCUCAUCGUCAAUUAGGCCGGCCGGGUCAAUUUGCAGGGCAAAAGUGUGUUGACGAACCGGCGGGAUAAGAUCCAUCACUUUAUAAGAGGGAGUCGCCAUCUUUUUAUUCUCCAUAUCAAAACCCGACUGAUAUUUUUCGAUGUUGGUCUCCUCACCAAGAAUGGUAGCCUGAGGACGAACUCCCCUCACACAAGCAAUAAAGUCAUCUUGCUCAAACGGAGUCCCGUCUUCCUUCAUGGUAGGGUACCCCUUAGCCACGUCCACCGGGUGUAAAUCGGGCACCCAGGCUUUGGAGCGGCUCAGGGCAGUCAGGGCUCCGACUCUGGCACAAGAUCGUUUGACCUCUUGAAAUCUGGCGGGUAAGAUCGAUAACUUCUUCAAAACAUCACUUAAACGGUUGGGUCCUUGGUUGGCAGGGGAUAUAUAUAGUAGAAAGUGCUCGUUGAGCACCAGUGUACAGUUGCUCCACCAAGGUAUAAACCGCCUUCAGUUUUGUCACACUAUCUUGACUCAGAUAUUUUACUUCGUGGACCUGUGAGUACUUUUUAACAAAGGCUCAGCAGGCGGCUUAUAUUUCUGGUUAAAAUAAAGUAUAAGUGACUAAUGCAAAUGACUUACCAAAGAUGGCGGAGACCAUUUGAUACACACGGUUUUUUAAGCCGGUGAGCUCCAUGGUAACCUCCUCAAGAGUCGCCUCUGCUGUCUUGGCACGUUGUGUCAGCAAGGUCUUCUCAUCGGCCCAGGAUUUCUUCUUCUCAGUCACACUGGUCUUCAAUUUUUCAGUUUUAGAGAGACUCAAUUGGAGUUUGGAGUUAGCAGUCUUUAUCUCCGCUUCUUGAUCCGCCAGCCGGGUCUUUGCAUCCGUCAAUUGAGAUCCCAAUUCAGUUAGGGCGGUCUACAAACAUGCAUAGGUGUGUCAAAAUUUAAACACAAGUUAUAUUGAUUAAAGUCGCGAGUGCUUUGCAACGCAACACCACUUGGCACUUGGGGGCUAAUGUCUGCCAAAGCAAUUUUAUGCAAAAUGACUCUUCUAUGUUUCAAGUCCCAAGUGUUUUACAAAGUAACAACGCUUGGCACUUGGGGGCUAAUGCAUGAUAUUCAGAAAGUUUUUCAAGAUGAGCCGGAUCACACUACUUAUUUGGACUAAUCUAAGACAGUUAUGAAGUUAAGUACCGGGUCAUUUAUGAUAAAUUGAGCCGGCCCUUGGGGACUACAUGUGAAGUUUAUACUAAUCCGUUGAACUUAGGAAAAAUCUAAAGACAAGGUAUCAACCUAUAUCAUAAGUCUACAGAUCAUUCAGGUUCAUCAUAAUCUGAAGACUUGGGGGCUGGCAGAGUAUAUAUAAACCGGAGAACGUACCUCAUAUUCUGUAACAUCCCAAAUUUUCAAUUUGGAAUGUUACACGUUAGGUCAUCAUGCAUAUCAUAUUUUAUUUUUCUUUUGGUUUUGAUCCUAGAAAAUCCUAAGCAACUCAAGGACCCACGGAGAGAGUUGGGGAUUUCAUUAUUUACAUAUUUGAGUUUUCUCAAAUUAUGUAAACAGGAUCAUUUGAUUUUAUUUAUUCUAUCAUCAAUUAUUUCUAUUACAAAAAUAUGAGAGAGGGAAUAAAAUGACUUUUCCAAAAUAUAGAAAUAUUGAGGAUUUAAUAAAAAAUCAAAUAAGUUUUAUUUCGGAGUUUUUUGGUAUUUUUAUUUGAAUUUAGGAAAAAUGCGCGUUUUUCAAAUUGUAGUUUGGGCCCAGAUAAAUGUUCACUUUAUCGGGCUUGAUUUUAGGAACCCGGCAAAAUUUAUUUCGUGAUUUUUGGAGUCCGUUUAGUAUUUCUUUUUAUUUUUCUUCCGAGCGGAUUUAAAAAAAAACUAGAACCGACUCCGUGCCGUAACCGGCCAGGAAACCUCCGCCCGGGGCCUUUAUAUAGCGCCCGAACCGGCCGAGAGAGAGAGAGAGGCCCGAAGCCAGCUAACCCUAACCCUAGCUAAGCCGCCGCCGCCUCCCAGCCGUCGCCGCCCGCCGCUGCCGACUCGCCGGAGCGCGCGCCUUUCGAGGUUCGCCGCCGCCUCGUUUUCCGUGAAGUUUUUUUUUAAAAAAAAAAUCUGUUCGUCGUUUUUCUUUUUCGUCGGAUUUUCCGCGGUUAUUUUCUGAUCGCGAUUUCUGAUCCGGUUUUCGUUUUAGUAUAACUUUUCGCUCGUUUAUCGGAAUCAGGCGAUUCAAGCGCCUGGAGUUUCGUCUCGAAACCCUCUUUCCGAAUAAUCAACUUAAACAAGUUUUUGCUACUGUAAAAUUUGCCCUAGAUCCAGAUUACUAGAAGGAAGUUGUUUUUUUUGCCGUUUGAUUUCUUUCGCUUCGUUCGAUUUGAUUCUUUUGCCAACCAGGGUUCUUAAGUUGAACUUUCUGGUUAGAUCUUCUAUUUGAGUUUUACUUGUGCAUUAGAUGAGUACUUAUUGUAUGCUUGAUGUUUGUCUGUGAUAGAAUACCCGGAGUGCGCCGCCUGUUACUUCGAAUCUCUAGGUUUCGCGGAUCAUCAGCAAGGCAAGUAACACUUUGAUCAUACCUUUUCUACAACCCAGUUUUAUUGCAUUAGAUCAAUCCUCACACAUUGCAUGAUUAGGAUCUAAUUAAAUUGUGGGAUGGGAAGUAGAUGAGGUAGUACCUAUUACCUGUUUAUUAUCAAACCUUUGGGAGUUACUUCUACGUUUGCUUAUGCCAUGUUAUGCCGGUAGACGUGGAUUGGGUGAGUGAUAUCCAUGACAGAUGUGAGAUUUAUAAUUAAGGGUUAUCUAAGGUGGCAACCUAACACACAUCUGGGUGGAUUGAGGCACCUGGGGUUACCAGGACUUGCCUGUUUUCUUUUGGACCGCCACCCAGGCCCAAAGGGAUCAUGAGAUUUUUCAUACUAGAAACUUCCGUGUGCAGCCACAAGCCAUUAUGGGCUCUGGCAUAGUUGACUAAGUUGUGCGAACUCUUACAGUGGUAGACUAGCAGAUGUAGGGGAAAGUAGGUGUACCGGUCUACCCGUCGUAAGGUGCUAGCGCUUCUGAAAGACUGUGUCUCGGUCAUCCGUUUCUCAAACACCUUGUAGUGCGAGAAACCAAACGGAGGUGAUCGAGUCUUGUGGGGAAAAGUGCGCAAACCUCUGCAGAGUGUAACAAACUAAUCAUGGUUAGCCGUGUCCCUGAUUAUGGACAUCUUGAGUAUCUAUUACCUGGAUUAUCAUGUGAAUCUCAACAUGUUACUCUAAAAUUAAUUUUGUGGGAUUUUAAUGAUGUUACUUAAUUGGGAUUGAGGAUGCUGUCAACCAUUCUCAAUGUUUAACAACCACCAUGAUAGUAAUUAAUUUUAUUCCUUUGAAGUAGGGAAAAAUUGGCUUUACGCAAAAACUGUAACCAUAGAGCUUUCCACCAGCCAAAUAUGCAUAUAGUAUAGUUGUUGCAUUCCAUUACUCUCUAUGUGUUACCUUGCCAGCAUAUUCCAUGUGCUGACCCGUUUCGGGCUGCAACGUUAAUGUUGCAGACUUUUCAGAUGACGAUUGAGGAAUUUUAGGUCGUGGUUCUAUACUCAGUGAUGCCGUUGGAGUUGAUGGACUCACUUAUCUUCCAAGCCUUCCGCUGUUAUCGUUAUUAGAUGGCCUUAAGCCAUAUUUAUUGUAAUAAGUUCUCUUUUGAGACACUCGAUGUAAUAAGUGUGUGAUUGCUACUCUGCUAUAAAUCCUCCGAGUACUGUGUGGUGUCAGCAUUACUGAUCCAAGGAUGACAUCGGAGCACAGAGAUCAGACUGUUUAAGGUCUGGUCGCUACAUAUUCCAGUUGCAAUUGCUUGACCAUCUCAAUUUCCGAGUCACGGCUGGAAUGCACAGGACUGAGAUAGCCGGACAGCAUGUCACUAACAUUCAGAUGAGCAUAGUGAGAGAUAUCAAAUUGUACUUUCUGUCUUUCCAAGGCCUCCUGUUUAGCAGAAUGCCUGGCCAGCACAGUCGGAUUACCCGGCGCAACAAAUCUGCUGCCAGUGAUCAAAACGUCAUGGUCAGAAGAUGCUGGCAGGUUAGCUGAACCGGACGGUCUGACGGUGGAUGGAUCGACAAUGGUUUCGUCAGCUGACGGCUCAGGAGGGUCCAAUUGAGCAUGGACAGCUAAAUCUUCUGGCGCUUCAGAUUGAGUGGGAGGAGUUGAUGUUGCCAGUUCAGGUGCAGGAUUUUUUGGGUCCUCUGCCGGUUUAAUCACCUUGGCUUUCUUGGACUUUGCUUGACCGCUAAGAAAGAUUUUUAUGAAAUAGUUAGUAUAAUGAUGCAGUUUUAAAAAUGUAGAGGAAAGAUGAUUUUCCUUACCCAUGGGCAGUCUUGAAAGCCGGAAAUUGAGUUUGGGAUGAGUCGCCAGAAGAGCGAGAGACCUCCUGCAAAGGUAAAAUAAAGUUAAGAAUAUAAGGAAAUAAAUUCAUGGAUAAAAACAAAGGACAAAGGUGAAAGAAACCUCAUUCUGGCGUUUUUGAGGAGUUUUUUCUAAGUCGAAAGGUGGUUCAUCAUCAUCAUUAGUCCGGGCCAGAUGGCGGCUCUCAUGUUGCUGCUUUUUCAAAAGAAAAUGAGGGUCCAAAUAAGCCAAAGGGUGCAAAAACCUUACUUUCCGGGUUACCAGUCGAAGUUUCUGUCUCGGCAAAGGGGCUGAGUCGUAGGAAAUAGUUACCUCUUCUUCCGCGGCCUGGCUGGCCCCCGUGUCAUCCUGGCAAUAGUCAGUGUCAAUAAGAUAGUUGAAAAUUUGGCCAAGGGAGAAAGGGCUACCUCCGACUCAGAAACAUCAUCAAGCUGGAAGAUGUCAGAUGCAGUCUUCUUCUUGGGCUUCCGGGUCGUUCUCUUGGCGGCUACGGCAGCGGAUCUAGCCUUCUUGGUAGCUUCAUGAUCAUACUUGGCCUUCCAGAAGUCAGAUUUGUCCUGUAAACAAAUAAAGAGGUUAAAAGGUCAUGCAAGUAUUUAAACUACUGAGGUAAACACAAAAAGAGAAAAAGGUCAAGAAGUUACCUCUGGUGUCGGGUUAAGUUUGCAGAAGGGGUUUAAUCCAACCUUGCUGUAGUCCUCGUAUUUGCCAUUCACGAGGAUGGUAGACAUUGCAACAAUGUCUUCUUCAGUUAAUUGUACAGAGCUAUAACGCAGAGAAUCAUUUGGGCCUCCGCCAUACUUAUACAUCAACUUGGAUCGGCGGCUUAGAGGGAUGACCCGCCAUGAGAUCCAGCAAUGGAUCAGGUCAACUCCGGUUAAGCCAUUUCCCAAUAAAGCUUGAAUCCUUUUGACAGAUGGGAUAAGCUUCUUGCGUUCAGCAGUAGUAAGCUUGUCAGGGAGCACAAACUUGGAAUCAAGACGCUCUUCACGAUAACCCGGCAGUGGUUUUUCAUCAGCCGGUGAUGUAUCUUGGCAGUAGAACCAGGUUUGCUUCCAGUCUUUGGGAUGGCUCGGUAAGACCACUAAAGGAAAAACGGCACCUUGUCAGCGUUGAAUUGAAAUUCUGCCAAGUUCCAAGCUAAGGCCGUUGGUGCACUCAUUCUGGCGGUUCAAGUAAAAGUACUCUCUAAAGAGCUCCACAGUUGGUUCUUCUUGAAGAUAUACCUCACAAAGAACUUGAAAAUUGCAGAUGUUGGAUAUAGGGUUGGGUCCAAUAUCUUGUGGAUGAAGCUUGAAAAAAUGCAGGACAUCUUGGACGAACUUUGAGCCGGGUGGUGAGAAGCCCCGGUUCAUGUGAUCUGUGAAAACGAUAACUUCGCCGUCUUUGGACUAAGGUCGUUCUUCGUCCGGGUCAGGAGCACGAUAAGACAUAACGCUUUUCUCUGGCAAAAAUCCAAUGGUGACAAAUUAUUUCAAGGUAUCUUCAGUAACUGUGGAAGGCACCCGGUUGCAGACAGUUGGCGCUUUUGACGGCAUGAUGAAGAAAGGGCAAGCUGAAAAGAAAGUAAUUUGCCGGUUCAAUUUAUUGGUGGAGUUACAGGUUCAUGAUUAUAGUACAGAUGAGUAAUGGCGGCUUAAGUAAGGGCUAAUGACAUGUAAAGGAAAAAUAAGCCGGAGUCAUAAGCCGCCAUGACUAAAAAGUAUUUGAAGGUUGCCAGAAUCAAAAUUGACUAAAGUGUUGAGACAAACAGGUUUCCCAAGUUGUGGCUAUUAUUAUGGAUCAAAAUGGUUCAGAAAAUAAAAAUAAAGUUAGACCUAGAAAACGAGCACAGAGGAGUUUGUCAGCUCUAAAGAGGCAUUUAUACAGGAGAAGGGGAUCUGUUAGCUUCAAAAAUGGAUGAGAAAUAGCUACCUCAUAAGUUUUGUACUACUUUUAGAUCAAAAGAGGGUGCGGUAAGAGAAGUUGCAACGAAUCUAUGACGAACAACGAAGAACACAAGAAGGAAACCUCCCGAACCCUAAUGCAGAUCUAUGGGGGUGAGAAGGUGAGAGCUUACAGGUGCGGAGCUGCUGCGGAGGAUCGCCACCGUUCUCUGGAUAGACUCAGGGUGAUGCUGCGGCCAGAGUUGAGGACGACGGUGCGCUACGGUGGCGACGGAGCUCGAGCGGCAAAGAAGGUGCGAGAGGAAGAAGAAAGAGGAAGGACUGGCCGAGCCUAUUUAUAAGGGGGUAAGUGAACGGGCAGACGCAAAAAUUGAGGAAGACCAAAGUAAUGAUUAUCCAGCUAAAUGGACGCCUCGAUCUUCGGAAAACAUUUAAGAUAAGGAUCCGUUGAAGAUGAAAUCGUGGUGUUUUUCCAAAUUUUUUCAAUCCUAAUGGUUGGUUAAUAAAAUAAGCUCAGUGAAUAUACAAGGCGAUAGUUUAUUAUAAGACUUGUAGUAGGCCCAAGCCCAAAGGCGGUUUAAGGCCCAUAAUUGUAAACCGCCAUGUAUAAGAAAGACUUGUAAAGAAAGGCAUGUAAGAGAAGUCACCGAGCCGAACACGUUAUAUGAGCCGGCCGGGACUCUGUAGGCUGCCAGGCGUCAACCCAUGUAUAUAAGGGGAUGACCCGGUGGCUGCUUAGGACAAGUAACAUCAAAUCAAGAGCCAUGCAUAGCGUAUUUGCUCCCUGAUCAUCGAAACCUAGCAAUAUCACAUCAACUGGACUAGGCUUUACCUUCACCGUAAGGGGCCGAACCAGUAUAAACCUUUCGUGUCCUUUGUCCCGAUUAACCCCUUUAAGCUUCCUAGUUGCGAUGGCUCCACGGCUAAGUCCUUUCACUAGGACAUCAUCCGUGACAAUUCCACGACAACUCUGGUGCGGAUCUUACUAUGGUUGACCUACGAGGUUCAGCGGUAACUUGAUCUGAAGUUUCAUGAUCAUCAUCAUUAGCUUCCUCACUAAUUGGUGUAGGAAUCACUGGAACUAAUUUCUGUGAUGAACUACUUACCAAUUCGGGAGCAGGUACAAUUGCCUCAUCAAGUUCUACUUUCCUCCCACUCACUUCUUUCGAGAGAAAGUCCUUCUCUAGAAAGGAUCCUUUCUUAGCAACGAAUAUAUUGCCUUCGGAUCUGUGAUAGAAGGUGUACCCAACAGUCUCCUUUGGGUAUCCUAUGAAGACACAUUUCUAUGAUUUGGGUUCGAGCUUAUCAGGUUGAAGCUUUUUCACAUAAGCAUCACAGCCCCAAACUUUAAGAAACGACAACUUAGGUUUCUUGCCAAACCACAGUUCAUAUGGUAUCAUCUCAACGGAUUUAGAUGGUGCCCUAUUUAAAGUGAAUGCAGUCUGAAAGUGCGUUAUAUCGACUAGAGGGGGGGUGAAUAGGCGAUUUUUAUGAAAGUCUUCAAAACAUGGAAGUUUCGAAGACAAACGAUAGAAAUAAACCUAUUACCAUGCAGUGGAAGUUAGACUACACUAGAUAAACCGUAGUCAUGUAUUCAAUGAAGUGAAAGGACAAUGACUAAUAGUAGCUAGGUAGUAAGGAUCAGGCAGGAAGAUAUUAAGAAGCCAAACGGAUCACACAGUCACUCAGUGAAGACAAAAGAUAGAGAAAACAUACAAUGACUUCACACAGAGUAACAGUAAGUAAAGAGAAGGGAAGGAUGAAACCAGUGACUCGUUGAAGACAAAGAUUUGUUGGACCAGUUCCAGUUGCUGUGACAACUGUACGUCUGGUUAGGGCGGCUAGGUAUUUAAACCAAAGGACACACAGUCCCGGACACCCAGUCCUGAACACGCAGCUCAGGACAUCCAGUCCUCACCGUAUUCCCCUUGAGCUAAGGUCACACAGACCUCGCCCAAUCACUCUGGUAAGUCUUCAAGGUAGACUCCCAAACCUUCACAGACUUCGUUCACCGGCAAUCCACAAUGUCUCUUGGAUGCUCAGAACGCGAUGCCUAACCAGCUGGAGGAUGCACAGUCCUCAAGUGUAAUAAGUCUUCAGAUCACUCAGACAAGAAGACUUAAGUGAUGCCUAAUUCUCUUUCGCUCUGGGUGGUUAGGGCUUUAUCCUCGCAAGGAAUUCUCUCUCAAAGGCUUCGAGGUGGGUUGCUCUCAAACGACAAAAGCCGUACUUUGAAUCUGAGUAGCCAACCGUUUAUGGUUGUAGGGGGUGGGCUAUUUAUAGCCACUAGGCAACCCGACCUGAUUUGUCCGAAAUGACCCUGGGUCACUAAGGAACUAACAUGUGUUCCAACGGUCAAAUUUCAAACUCACACGGAAACUUUACUUGGGCUACAAGCAAAGCUGACUUGUCCGACUCUGGACAAGAUUUUCUCUCAUAGUCUUCACUCGAAGACAUAGGUUUUUGUUUAAGCAUCACUUUAGUCAUUCUGACUGGCUCUCUUGGACCCCACUUAACAGUAUGUUGGUUCCUAUGACUCAACACAGAAGAAAAAGAACUACGAAAAAUCUAAGUGUUCAAGCUCCAUAGGCUUCAUGCGGUGUCUUCUCUUGUCAUAGUCUUCAAUGUGAAUAUCUUCAUAUACCACCUUUGACAUCAAUGUCUUCAUACACUUUUAGGGGUCAUCUCUGGUGGGAAAACCGAAUCAAUGAGGUACUUCUACCUGUGUUAUCCUGCAAUUCUCACAAACACAUUAGUCCCUCAACUAGGUUUGUCGUCAAUACUCCAAAACCAACUAGGGGUGGCACUAGAUGCACUUACAAUCUCCCCCCUUUUGGUGAUUGAUGACAAACUAGUUGAAGUUUUCAACGGGGAAUAUAAUGUGUGAAAUUGUAAAGGAUAAGGAAUUGUCUUCAUAAGUUACAAGGGCUCCCCCUGAAGAUGUGCAUAUAAGUAAUUUGCUUUUGGAAUGCAAAUGCACAUGGCAGGUUGUGCUUGUGGAGAUCCACUUCAACUUAUGAUGACAAUCCACUAUGCAUGUGAAAGUAUGUGAAGAUAAUGACAUGCAUAAUGGAAAAUGGAUGUCUGCAGAAUGAUCUAAGUGCGGAAUCUAUCAUCGCACAUGCGGAAUUUAUCAUCACAACACAAGGUAGCAAAUAGGUAGCAGACGACCAUCAAGUUUAAGUGUUACAACUCAAAGAACCAAAUGUUUCAAAACGAGAGUUGUAAGCACGAAGCAAAAUAUAAAACACCCGCCCAUAUGGACCCAUUUGAAGACUAUCAAACUCAUAUGCUUCUCCCCCUUUUGACAGUAAGGACCAAAAAGGUUUGAAGACAUAGAGCCUCUACUCGUUCCCAUGAGGAGUAGGUGAAGCAGCAGGAUCGUUGAUGGUGUUUGGCAGUGCAGACGAGCUUGGAGCAGUGUCGACGUGUGCUGAAGGAGGCGGCGAAGAAGUAGCAUCGUCUUCAUCCUCGAUCACUCUGGCAUUCACGGUUGCAGUAGAGGAAGAGAACUCAGGGUCUUCAAGUGAUGGAGUUCGUCGCAGCACAGCCCUGCGAGGAGGUGUGGAGUCAAACUUGAAGCGCUCAGUGAAGCCAUCCUCUUGCAGAUCAUCUUCAGAACACAGCAGCGUCAGCCCUUUCCAUGUGCGUCGAGAUGUUUCAUGAGCAACAAAGGCGUUCUUGGUGGCAAGAUUGUGAAUGCGAUUAACAUCCACCAAGAGGCUUUGCAUUUGACGCUUUAGCCAGUCAUGAUGCCUAUCCUGUUUCUGAUGAAGGGCCACCAGAAGCUCUCGGUCAUUGAGGACACGAGUGCGCUUCUUGGGUCGUUGAGCAAUGGUGCUAUCAGUGGCUUCAGUAAGAGCAGGAUGCGGGGCACGGGUAGUGCCAGCCAAAGGAUACACACGUGUUACUGCUUCAAUGCCUUCAACGUUCCGAGAGAAACUUUGAUGCUCUGCAUUCUGAAGACUUAGAGGUUCCUUGGCAGGCUCAGGAUAUAUGGCUUCAAUAGACAUAUCCACAUCAGGCAAAAAGAUCCGAUGAUUGCGGGCAGAUGGCUGAUAUGAGAUAGCAGAGUGAAGUUUGAUCAGCCGCAUCACCCAAGGGGCGUAGAACUUCAACCCAAAUAGAUCAGAGCCAGAUGCAGCAAGUUGGCGAAUGAAGAAAUCCUAUGUAUUGAAGCAUUUUCCAUGAAGAAUAUAGAAGACCAAAGUCUUCAUUGCACCUUCCAGCUGGGCAUGGGGAGAAUGUCCUUUGAUUGGCCAGAGAGUUCGCCUUAUGAUAUGAUAAAUGGUCCUUGGCAGAUACUCAAGGUCUUCAACAAAGAACUCCGUGGGAUAAGCAGCAUCUUGGGGCAAUGGCUUCAUCAUACUGAGCAUCUGACUCAUAUUGGGUUCAGUCUUCUGAAAGAUGCUCUCAACAGCUUCAAUGUGAAGCUGACAGCCAUGCUCAUAGAGAUCGCCAGGAGUGGGCAAGCCAGUGAGCUCAAUGAUGUCAAAGACUUUGGCUUCGUGAUGAACAUUUCCAGUCAUCCACUCUAGGACCCAAGUCUUUGGAUCUCUGUUAUACCCGCGGAUGUGAAGUGUGGCAUAGAACUGGAGCAGCAACUCUUCAUUCCAAUGCUCUUGGUCAGUGACGAAUGGUAGCAGCCCAACUUCAUUGAAGCAAUCCAAAGCUUCUUCCAGACAGGCAGACCAGCUAUAGCUUCAAUGUCAAGGCGCUUGUGUGGGAAGAUGCGACCUUUGUUGUAAAGAAUGCAUGAGUAAUAGCUUCGCUGCUGAUAGCUCCAGAACCGAUCAGAUGAUAUUCUUUCCCUGGAGUAGGGGUUCCUGGAGCUAUUGAAGAAUGUGUUGUCUGCUCUGAAGCCAUUGAUGUUAAAGGAGCCAGGUGCUAAUGCAGGACCUGGGAACCUGGGCAAUCUUGGGAUUGGCUUCUGGACCUGAGGCCUGUGCUCAACAUGAUAGUCGAAUUGGGGACCGGCAGCAGACGCAGGAACAGGAGCAGCAGGAUUAGUGGCUUCGCUGACUUCUGGUGCUGUUGGGGGUGAGGGCUCCACAUUAGCUUCAGCCAUGACGGUGUCAGUGGCUUCAGUGGUGUUGGUGGUGGCAGCCUCUAGAUUUUCAACCUCCACUUGACGAGCUGGAGGGUCGGUCAUGAUCACGUUCUCCUCGAGAACCGCUUCUUGGUGGGGCAGGGGAGUAGCAGCUUGUGGAACUUCUUCUUCCGUGGCUGAUGCAGCUAGAUUGUCUUCAGCAGAGACUUGAGGCCUUGGACCUUUGUGAAGCCUGCGCAACGCGGGCGAUGCCUGUGGAGCUGGAGUGGGCUGGGCCUCAUAGUCUUCUUCCUCUUGUUGGCGAUCCGCCCAUGAAGCAUCCUGUGCCAUUGGCGUCAGUGGACGACCAAUGCUGAUGAGUUCGUUGUUUUCAAGCUGAGGAAGAACUGCACCAUCUUCUACAUGGUCAUGUUGACCAAUGUCUUCAGCAGUGAUGGGAUCAGCUGUUGGAAAGUCUUUAGCUUUAUGAGCCUCUGUGGAAGCAGGCUCAUGGAUUGUCAGUUGGCGUUCAGCUUCAGGAUAGACCAUUGAAAUAGGUUCAACUAUCAAAGGCUCUGUGGGAGCAGCCUGUUCCUUCUUGGUCUUUCGUUUCUUCUUGGAGGGGGCAGUAGGAGAGGCUUCAGGAUGUUUCCUCUUCCUGGCUUCAGCCUCAGCAGUCCUUGUCUUCUUGAGCUCUGAAGCGGUUGACCGGCUUUUUGGCUUCAAGCCAGUCAGUCUAGUUGGGAAGACAAUCGGAACUGCUUCCUGCCUUGGUGCGUCGGAUUCAGCCGUAGCAGUCUUCUUCUUCUUCUUUGCGGCCAUCCUAGGGUCAAUGCCAGGACGCCCAAGGGCCUUGCGCUUCUCAGCCUCAUUGUAGGCUUGCACACAUCUGUCAGCCAGAGCCUUCAUGCGCUCACGUGAAUCCCGAGCUUCUGCACAUUUCUUCAGAAAGGCUUCCUUGAGCUCGUGCAUCAUGAUCUUGAAGUUCUUCACUUCUUGCACACUGAGCUUGGCCAUAUGCUUCUUGAACUGAGCCUUUUCAUAGUCAAUCUUCUGCUUUAGUUCAACAACGUGUCGGGCGAUGGCUAGCUCUGAAGCAAUGGCGCCUUGGAAGGCGACACUGAGGCCAAUGGGUAGCUGCAGAUCAUCAAAGCUGAUGUUUGGCAUAUCAAACCACUCGUCAAUGAAGUUGUGGAUGAUGGUUACAUCAAAGAGAGGCAGAUCAUUGAAGAUUUCGGCUUCUUCUUUGCUCUUGAUGAGUUGCUCAAGAGCGUCAUCUGCAAGAUCUUCAUCACUUGACAGAUCAAUGUCAUCAUUGCGCAGAAUGGCAGCAGCUGUUAGCUCUUGGCCGGUGUGUGGCAGAGGCAUCUUGGCCUUCUAGGGCUUGGAGAUGCGUGAUAAAUCUUCGGACUGCACACUGUCUUCAGGAGAUGCAGUUGCCAGUGGCUUCGCCCUUGAGAUUUUUGGUGAAGGGGCAGGCUUUGAAGCUUUGGGCUUCUUCAACUUCUUUGGUGUUGGCGCUGCAGGCGCUUCAUCUGAUUCAGCGUUAGCUGCAGGCUCAUUCACGGUUGUCCCUUGAACCAAGAUAUGGGUGAUGAGUCCUGCAAGGUUGUAGAAAGGACCGACGACAUUGGGUUCCGCAUCGCGUGUGCCGUCAGCCCUUGGAGCAGAAGGACCAGGGUUGAAGUCUAAUCCAAAAGACUUCUUGUUCUGCUUUGCUGAGUUCUUGGCAAACUGGAAGUUGCGCUUGAAUAGAUUGUCGUCACGGCACCAUAGUAGUGACGAUGGGUGUGCAUCUGCAGGCUGUGGCCCACGCACCAUGCAGGGAUAGAAGCCUUGUUCAAUGGCUUCUUCUCUGGACCUGGGUUGAAGAUUCUUGUAUAGGAUGUCUCCCCAUGGUCUCUUGAUGGCAUUUCUCUCAGCAUAUUCCUGGGUCACAAACCGGUAUUUGAACCAUUGUUCUGCCCAAUAUCUUCGAAUCCAUUGGAUUCGGGUCUUGCGCUGAUUAUAAUCCUGUUCAGGAUCUGUCUUGUAAAGCUCUGAGAGGUCAUCAGGAAAAUCUCUUGAUGUCCCCCCACGACGCUGUCUGCCACCCUUCCUUACUGAUUUCUCUGCAGCCAUGAACUUCAAACUGAAAGGCUUCAAAACGUUCAAAGGCUUCAAAGGUUUUCGCUUGCUGGACAAACAGGAACUGGCUUCGGGAGAAUUUAUAUGAUGCUGUAAGAAUUCUGCAAAUGAAUGCAGACUAUGAGAACCAAGGGAUUCUCCCAUGGACAUGUACCUGUGACAACAUUAAGGUGCAAGGGAAGGGGAAGAGGUCAUAUGCAUUCUCAGGAGAUUUUGAAGAUAAAUCAGUUUAGAAGACAUUGACCUCAUCGUGCGAAGACAUUCACUCAUAGAUAAGGAGUUGGUUCCAGAUUUGUACGAAUCCAGUGAUCAGUACAAGUGAGGAAUCUAACUACUUGUGAAGCAUAAGUGAAUAUACUAGGCAUGUUAUGAGAUGCAGUAGGAAAGAGAUCCAACUUGUGUGAAUAGAAACUUCUUAUGGUAGAAAGUGACAAAGCCAUAGGAUCAAAAGGGGCCGUAAAAAGAAGUUUUAUUUACCACACUUGGAACUGCUAGAUGGAGUGGAAGAGGAGGCCGAGCAGUUCGAUCUUCUGUGCCCUAACUUGGCGACGAAGGACACCUACGGCGACGGCGGAGAGGACGAUGUCCGCGGUCGGUGUGAAGACGGCGUCGGAGAGGUUGCGGCAGUGAAGCGCUUCGUCGCCGGCGUCGUCGAGGGCUAGCAGUGGCACUAGGGUUCGUGCGAGGGUGGAAGAAGAGAUGAUGACCGCUGUGAAGGGUGUAUUUAUAGGUACAGGGGCGGCACUGCGUUAUUACACAGGUGCCCCUGGCGAUUCACAUCUGAGGAACACGUGGCCAUCAUGCAGUAUAUUGGGGUUUGUUCCACGUCUCACGCACGCCUAGAUUGUCGGGUGGUCGUUCCUACUUCUCCGGGUUUCAUGUGGAGGAAUGGGCAUUGAAAACGGACUUAAUGUUUGUCUCUGUAUGUUCUGCUGACAAGGACGCAGAGAAGACAUUCGACAGUUUCAAUAGAAUGCAUAUGAUUUGGAGAGAUAGAGUUUGAGAUAGAGAGCACAGAGAGGUUAGGGUCCGAUCACAUUCACUUAGAUCAAAAGAUUCAACAAGAAGACAUAGCUAUAAGUGAAUACUGUAGAGGACAGAACACUAGUAUAUAUAUAUAUAUAUAAUCAACAUAGUGAAGAUAAUCAUGAAAACAUGUUGAGAUUGAAACCAAACCAAAUGUGAAGUCAUAGCAAGGUAAUGCCAUGAGUGAAACACUUCAAAUAGAACAUUUGGUGGUGGCGUUACCCACCGUAUAGGAAGUAUUAGACCCAGACACGGCGCACAAUUAUCGUGGCGCUCCGAAGUCAAAUUCCACAUUAAUGUAUUCACACUUAGAAUGUAUGUCUUCAUUGAUUGAAGAUAUACUUUACUUCGUGUGUUGCACAUCUAAGUCAUCAAUAUGCAUAAGGGUUAGGAUGUGUGCCUGAUCACAGGACAUUUGAGGAUUCCAGGAUAUUUAGCUCACAUCGUAACUUGCAAAAUCUCUUCUCAUCCAAGGGCUUGGUGAAGAUAUCUGCCAAUUGCUCUUCAGUGUUGACGUGUAUGAUAUCAAUAUCUUCCUUCACAACAUGAUCUCUGAGAAAGUGAUGACGAAUUUCAAUGUGCUUUGUCUUCGAGUGCUGAACAGGGUUGUUGGCAAUCUUGAUGGCGCUUUCGUUGUCACAGUAGAGUGGCACUUGCUUCAGAUGAAUGCCAUAGUCCUUGAGGGUUUGCUUCAUCCACAGAAGCUGAGCGCAGCAAGAUCCAGCAGCAAUGUAUUCAGAUUCAGCAGUGGAGAGAGAUACACAGUUCUGCUUCUUUGAAGACCAACAUACAGGUGAUCGUCCCAGAAAAUGACAUGUGCCUGAUGUAGACUUGCGAUCCACCUUGUCACCAGCAUAAUCAGCAUCCGAGAAUCCAACCAGAUCAAACUCUGAGCCCUUUGGAUACCAUAAUCCUAGAGUUGGGGUGUGAGCCAAAUAUCGAAGAAUUCGCUUCACAGCUAGGUGAUGCGACUCCUUUGGUGCCGCUUGAAAUCGAGCACACAUGCAAACACUAAGCAUAAUAUCUGGCCUAGAUGCACAUAGAUAAAGCAAAGAACCAAUCAUGGAGCGGUAUACCUUUUGAUCGAACUCUUUACCAUUGUCGUCAGGACCCAGAUGAUGCUUGGCUGGUAUUGGCGUCGUGAACCCUUUGCAGUCUUGCAUACCGAACUUCUUAAGGCAAUCCUUGAGAUGCUUCUCUUGAGAUAUGAAGAUGCCGUUGCGUUGCUGUCGUAUUUGAAUACCGAGGAAAAACUUCAGCUCUCCAUCAUGGACAUCUGAUAUUGCUCUUGCAUCAUAUAUCCAAACUCUUCACUGUACUUCUGAUUGGUGCAGCCGAAGAUAAUGUCAUCCACAUAUAUUUGGCACACAAACAGUUAACCAUCAUAUGUCUUCGUGAAGAGAGUGGGGUCGAGGGAACCAGGUAUGAAGCCUUUGCUCUUCAGGAAGUAUUUGAGUGUGUCAUACCAGGCCCGAGGGGCUUGUUUGAGGCCAUAUAGUGCCUUGUUGAGCUUGUAUACCGUAUCAGGAUGUUUUAGAUCUUCAGAGCCAGGUGGUUGUGCAACAUACACUUCUUCUUCAAUCUUUCCAUUGAGAAAGGCGCUCUUCACAUCCAUUUGAUAAAGAAGUAUGUUGUGAUGAUUUGCAUAGGCCAGCAGUAUGCGUAUGGCUUCAAGUCUAGCCACAGGAGCAAAUGUUUCAUUGAAGUCAAUGCCUUCCACUUGAGUAUAUCCUUGAGCAACUAGACGAGCUUUGUUUCUGACAACUUGACCAUGCUCAUCUUGCUUGUUGCGGUAUAUCCAUUUUGUGCCUAUUAUGUUGUGCUUCCGAGGAUCAGGACGCUUAACCAGUUCCCAUACAUUAUUCAGCUCAAACCGUUGAAGCUCUUCUUGCAUAGCUUGAAUCCAUUCAGGUUCCAUGAAGGCUUCUUCCACUUUCUUGGGUUCUGUUAUUGAGACGAAUGCGAAGUGCCCACAGAAAUUUGCCAGCUGGGUUGCCCUUGAUCGACUGAGCGGACCAGGUGCAUUGAUGCUGUCAAUUAUUCUCUCAAUUUGCACUUCAUUGGCAACACGAGGAUGUACAGGGCGAAGACUUUGCUCUUGCUGAUCAUUGUCGUUGUUGGAGGGAUUGUCUUCAGGUUGAGCAUUGUCUUCAGGUUGAUCUGGUGCAGAGAUGAUGAGUUCCUCUUCAGGAUGAGCUUUAGAAGGUAUGAUUUCUCCAGUUCCCAUUAGCUUGAUUGAUUCACUGGAUGGAACUUCAUCUAGCACAUUUGGCAGGUGCUCUCUUUGUGAACCGUUAGUCUCAUCGAACCGCACAUCCACGGUUUCAACCACUUUAUAAUGAAAGAGGUUGAAGACUCUGUAGGAGUGCGAAUCCUUUCCAUAUCCAAGCAUAAAACCCUCAUGUGCUUUUGGGGCAAACUUUGAAGUGUGAUGUGGGUCCUUGAUCCAGCACCUUGCGCCAAAUACUCUGAAGUAACUGGCAUUUGGCUUCUUGCCAGUGAGGAGCUCAUACGAUGUCUUGUUCAGAAGCUUGUGAAGAUAAACACGAUUGAUUGUAUGGCAUGCAGUAUCAAUGGCUUCAGGCCAGAAUUUUCUUGGAGUCUUGUAUUCAUCUAGCAUUGUUCUGGCCAUCUCAAUGAGUGUUCUGUUCUUGCAUUCGACGACGCCAUUCUGCUGUGGCGUGUACGGGGCUGAGAAUUCAUGUGUGAUGCCCAAGGUAUCAAGAUAUGUAUCAAGGCCAGUGUUCUUGAAUUCAGUGCCAUUGUCACUUUUGAUGUGCUUUAUCUUGGCACCAUAGUUGUUCAUUGCUCGAUUGGCGAAGCGUUUGAAGACAUCCUGCACUUCAGUCUUGUAAAGGAUUAUAUGCACCCAAGUGUAUCUAGAAUAAUCAUCAAUAAUGAAGAAGCCAUAGAGACAAGCAGUAGUAGUAAGAGUUGAGUAAUGAGUGGGACCGAAAAGAUCCAUGUGAAGCAGCUCGAAGGGUCGAGUAGUAGUCAUGAUUGUCUUCGAGGGAUGCUUGGCCCUCGUCAUCUUUCCUGCUUCACAGGCACCGCAUAAGUGAUCUUUCUUGAACUUGACGCCCUCAAUGCCUAUGACAUGCUUCUUCUUUGCCAGGGUGUGGAGGUUCCUCAUGCCAGCAUGCCCAAGCCUCCGAUGCCAGAGCCAGCAUUCUGAAGCUUUUGCUAGAAGACAUACGGCAAGUUGUGGUCCUGCUGAGAAAUCUACCACGUACAGAUCGUCUUUCCGAUACCCUUCAAACACUAGAGACUUGUCAGAUUCCAUUAGAACAAGGCAACAAUAUUUUCCAAAUAUUACGAUCAUGUUCAAAUCGCAUAGCAUUGAGACAGACAUUAAGUUGAAGCCAAGGGAUUCAACAAGCAUGACUUUAUCCAUGUGUUGAUCCUUUGAGAUUGCAACUCUACCUAGACCCAAUACCUUACUUUUACCAGUGUCAGCAAAUGUGAUGUGGCUCUUGUCGGAAGGACGUAAGGUUGAGUCCAUCAGAAGGCUUCUUUUGCCAGUCAUGUGAUUUGUACACCCACUAUCAGUAAUCCAUUCUGUAUACGCUGGUGUCGUACCCUACAGUGCAGUUAGGGGGAUAGGCUUCACGAAGAGAGUUGUGAAGCAAAAACAUUUGACGAACCAGUGGGUUAUGAAAGCUUAGAUCCAGAUUAGUACUGAUAGGGAGAGUAGCAAGCGAUUCAGGAACGAAGUACAUAGUAAGACCAUUCGGCAUUUGAUCUUGCGCCCUACAAGAUGUUUAAGGUCCCCAGCGAUAGCGUCAGAAGAUUUUGGUUUUCUGCUGGAGACCUUUCCCUGCAAAAGAGAGUUAAGCCUUCUUAACAACCCACAUCUUCAAGGGUGGCUUAGAAGCGAUAAGUCUAAGUGCAGAGUCUGAAAACUUUGGCUUUGGGGCUCUAGCAAAAAGUCUUGCAGGUGGACAAUAAUACUCAUAAGAAUAAGCAGAAUAGUUUUUGGUCUUAUGAACAUGGCGGUUCGAUGAACCGCGCUCAUAUUCAUAGGCCUGAGUAUGGUUUCCCUGCAAAACAUUUGCAUUAGUCCGACUCAGGUGAGUCCUCUGUCUGUAUGAAGCCUUUGGGCCAUAUGAAGCCUGUGGUCUGGGGUUUGUCUUCUUCAUCUAUGGUGUCAUGAUGACAUUCACAGGAAGAUUUUCCAAACACCUUUUGGGCACCCAGACCUUCUUCAUAGGCGGUCCAUUCCUGCAGUUAGUACCAAUGUACCUGGCAAAAACUUCACCAUUCUGAUUCUUAAAUAGUUUAUAGUUUGCAUCAAAGGAUUCAUCAAUGACAAUGGGGUUAGCACAAGUGAAGCCAGAUAGACUGGAUGGAUUUGCUGAAGGUUCCUUUGCAGCAACCCAUGUGGUUUUGGGAUACUGCUCGGGUUUCUAGUAAGAGCCAUCAGCAUUCAUUUUCCUUAUGAACCCAACACCCUCUUUCCUCGGGUUUCGGUUCAGAAUCUGCCUUUUGAGGACAUCACAUAGUGUCUGAUGCCCUUUAAGACUUUUGUACAUCCCUGUUUCAAGCAAUGUCUUCAACCUAGCAUUCUCAUCAGCAAUCGCAGUAGUAUCCUCAGUAGAGGGGUUAGUUACCACAUCAACAGUUGAAGAUAUUGCAACAGUAGCAGUAGUAGAACAUUCAGCAACAGAAGCAGCAUUAUCACGCUCAAUGCAUUUAAGACAUGGUGGUUCAAAUCCUUCCUGAGCGGAACUGAUCUGUUCGGCGCGAAGUGACUCGUUUUCCUUUUGAAGAUCUUCAUGAGCCGCUCUCAAUUUCUCAAGAUCUUGCUUCCUUUGAAGAUAAUCAUAGGAAAGCUUUUCAUGAGUUGUUGAGAGCGUUUCAUGACAACUUUCAAGUUCCUCAUAUUUAACGUGAAGAUUUUUUAUGUCUUGAAUUAAGGAUUCAGAUCGAGUCAUUUCAACGCCCAACAAAUCAUCGCUUUUGUCUAACAGUUUUUGAAUAUGUUCCAUGGCUUUCUGUUGUUCAGUUGCAAUUUUAGCAAGUGUUUUGUAGCUGGGUCUUGAAUCACAAUCAGAGUCAUCAUCACUAGAUGUUUGAUAGUGAGUAGUGCGUGUGUUUACCUUGGCACCGUGUGCCAUGAAGCAGUAGGUAGGAGCAGAGUCGUCCUUGUCAUUUGCAUCGGCGUCGGUGGUGAAGUCAUUGUCUUCAGUGUUGAAGAUGGACUUGGCAACGUAUGCUGUAGCCAGACUUGCAACACCAGAAUCGGACUCCUCCUCAGACUCCACCUCCGCCUCCUCAGACGCGGACUCCUCCUCUGAAUCCAUUUCCUUGCCAACAAACGCACGUGCCUUGCCAGAUGAGCUCUUCUUGUGUGAUGAAGACUUUGAGGAAGACUUGGAAGAAGACUUUGAGUAUUUCUUCUUCUUCUUGUCGUCAGAGUCAUAUUCCUUGCUCUUCUUCUUCUUUCUAUUCUCAUUGUCCCACUGCGGACACUCAGAGAUGAAGUGGCUAGUUUUCUUGCACUUGUGACAUGUUUUCUUCUUGUAGUCAUGAGCAGAAGCUUCAUCAUUCCUUGAGCUUGAUCGUGAAGACUUUCUGAAGCCUUUCUUCUUGGGGAAUCUUUGGAACUUCUUUACAAGCAUAGCAAGUUCCUUUCCAAUGUCUUCAGGAUCGUCAGAACUGCUGUCAGAUUCUUCUUCAGAUGAGGAGACAACUUUUGCCUUCAGGGCACGAGUUCGCCCAUAGUUUGGACCGUAGAUAUCUCUUUUCUCAGAAAGCUGAAACUCAUGUGUGUUGAGCCUCUCAAGUAUGUCGGACGGAUCGAGUAUCUUGAAAUCAGGUCGUUCUUGAAUCAUCAGGGCUAGGGUGUCAAACAAACUGUCAAGUGAUCUCAGUAGUGUCUUGACGACUUCAUGCUUGGUGAUCUCAGUGGCGCCGAGCGCUUGAAGCUCAUUUGUGAUGUCAGUGAGUCGGUCAAAUGUGAGCUGGACAUUCUCAUUGUCAUUUCGCUUGAAGCGGUUAAAGAGGUUGCGAAGAACGCUGAUUCUCUGAUCUCUCUGGGUUGAGACGCCUUCGUUGACCUUGGAGAGCUAGUCCCAGACCAGCUUCGAUGUUUCCAAAGUGCUCACACGGCCAUACUGUCCUUUGGUCAGAUGACCACAGAUAAUGUUCUUGGCAGUAGAGUCCAGUUGAACGAACUUCUUGACAUCAGCAACAGUGACACCUUCUCCAGCCUUGGGAACGCCGUUCUUGACGACAUACCAUAGGUCGACGUCAAUGGCUUCAAGAUGCAUGCGCAUCUUAUUCUUCCAGUAGGGAUAUUCAGUUCCAUCGAAGACGGGGCACGCAACGGAGACUUUAAUUAUCCCUGCAGUCGACAUAGCUAAAACUCCAGGUGGUUAAACCGAAUCACACAGAACAAGGGAGCACCUUGCUCUCAUACCAAUUGAAAGUGCAUUAUAUCGACUAGAGGGGGUGACUAGGCGAUUUUUAUGAAAGUCUUAAAAACAUGGAAGUUUCGAAGACAAAUGAUAGAAAUAAACCUAUUACCAUGCAGCGGAAGUUAGACUACACUAGAUAAACCAUAGUCAUGUAUUCAAUGAAGUGAAAGGACAAUGACUAAUAGUAGCUAGGUAGUAAGGAUCAGGCAGGAAGAUAUUAAGAAGCCAAACGGAUCACACAGUCACUCAGUGAAGACAAAAGAUAGAGCAAACAUACAAUGACUUCACACAGAGUAACAGUAAGUAAAGAGAAGGGAAGGAUGAAACCAGUGACUCGUUGAAGACAAAUAUUUGUUGGACCAGUUCCAGUUGCUGUGACAACUGUACGUCUGGUUAGGGCGGCUAGGUAUUUAAACCAAAGGACACAUAGUCCCGGACACCCAGUCCUGAACACGCAGCUCAGGACACCCAGUCCUCACAGUAUUCCCCUUGAGCUAAGGUCACACAGACCUCGCCCAAUCACUCUGGUAAGUCUUCAAGGUAGACUCCCAAACCUUCACAGACUUCGUUCACCGGCAAUCCACAAUGUCUCUUGGAUGCUAUAACGCGACGCCUAACUGGCUGGAGGAUGCACAGUCCUCAAGUGUAAUAAGUCUUCAUAUCACUCAGACAAGAAGACUUAAGUGAUGCCUAAUUCUCUUUGGCUCUGGGUGGUUAGGGCUUUAUCCUCGCAAGGAAUUCUCUCUCAAAGGCUUCGAGGUGGGUUGCUCUCAAACGACAAAAGCCGUACUCUGAAUCCGAGCAGCCAACCGUUUAUGGUUGUAGGGGGUGGGCUAUUUAUAGCCACUAGGCAACCCGACAUGAUUUGUCCGAAAUGACCCUGGGUCACUAAGGAACUGACACGUGUUCCAACGGUCAGAUUUCAAACUCACACGGCAACUUUACUUGGGCUACAAGCAAAGCUGACUUGUCCGACUCUGGACAAGAUUUGCUCUCAUAGUCUUCACUCGAAGACAUAGGUUUUUGUUUAAGCAUCACUUCAGUCAUUCUGACUGGUUCUCUUGGACCCCACUUAACAGUGCGGUGGUUCCUAUGACUCAACACAGAAGAAAAAGAACUACGAAAGAUCUAAGUCUUCGAGCUCCAUAGGCUUCAUGCAGUGUCUUCUCUUGUCAUAGUCUUCAAUGUGAAUAUCUUCAUAUACCACCUUUGACAUCAAUGUCUUCAUACAUUUUUAGGGGUCAUCUCUGGUGGGAAAACCAAAUCAAUGAGGUACUUCUACCUGUGUUAUCCUGCAAUUCUCAUAAACACAUUAGUCCCUCAACUAGGUUUGUCGUCAAUACUCCAAAACCAACUAGGGGUGGCACUAGAUGCACUUACACAGUCGUCUCUAAAGCAUAACCCCAAAAUGAUAGCAGUAAAUUAGUAAGAGACAUCAUAGAUCGCACCAUAUCUAAUAAAGUGCGGUUACGAUGUUCGGACACACCAUUAUGUUGUGGUGUUCCGUGUGGCGUGAGUUGCGAAACUGUUCUGCAUUGUUUCAAAUGAAGACCAAACACGUAACUCAAAUAUUCACCUCCACGAUCAGAUUGUAGAAACUUUAUUUUCUUGUUACGAUAUUUUUCCUCUUCACUCUGAAUUUUUUUGAACUUUUCAAAUGUUUCAGACUUAUGUUUCAUCAAGUAGAUAUACCCAUAUCUGCUCAAAUCAUCUGUGAAGGUCAGAAAAUAACAAUACCCGCCGCGAGCCUCAACACUCAUCGGACCGCAUACAUCCGUAUGUAUUAUUUCCAACAAGUCUAUUGCUCACUCCAUUGUUCCGGAGAAUGGAGUCUUAGUCAUCUUGCCCAUGAGGCAUGGUUCGCAAGCAUCAAGUGAUUCAUAAUCAAGUGAUUCCAAAAGUCCAUCAGCAUGGAGUUUCUUCAUGCGCUUUACACCAAUAUGACCUAAACGGCAGUGCCACAAAUAAGUUGCACUAUCAUUAUUAACCUUGCAUCUUUUGGCUUCAAUAUUAUGAAUAUGUGUGUCACUAUUGUCGAGAUUCAAUAAAAAUAGAUCACUCAUCAAGGGUGCAUGACCAUAAAAGAUAUUACUCAUAUAAAUAGAACAACCAUUAUUCUCUGAUUUAAAUGAAUAUCCGUCUCGCAUCAAACAAGAUCCAGAUAUAAUGUUCAUGCUUAACGUUGGCACCAAAUAACAAUUAUUCAGGUCUAAAACUAAUCCCGAUGGUAGAUGUAGAGGUAGCAUGCUGACGGCGAUCACAUCGACUUUGGAACCAUUUCCCACGCGCAUCGUCACCUCGUCCUUAGCCAAUCUUCGCUUAAUCCGUAGCCCAUGUUUCGAGUUGCAAAUAUGAGCAACAGAACCAGUAUCAAAUACCUAGGCGCUACUACGAGCAUUAGUAAGGUACACAUUAAUAACAUGUAUAUCAAAUAUACCUUUCACUUUGCCAUCCUUCUUAUCCAUCAAAUACUUGGGGUAGUUCCGCUUCCAAUGACCAGUCCCUUUGUAGUAGAAGCAUUCAGUCUCCGGCUUAGGUCCAGACUUGGGCUUCUUCACUUGAGCAACAACUUGCUUGUCAUUCUUCUUGAAGUUCCCCUUCUUCCCUUUGCCCUUUUUCUUGAUACUGGUGGUCUUGUUGACCAUCAACACUUGAUGCUCCUUCUUGAUUUCUACCUCUACAGCCUUUAGCAUUGCGAAGAGCUCGGGAAUUGUCUUAUCCAUCCCUUGCAUAUUAUAGUUCAUCAUGAAGCUUUUGUAGCUUGGUGGCAGUGAUUGAAGAACUCUGUCAAUGACACUAUCAUCAGGAAGAUUAACUCCUAGUUGAGUCAAGUGGUUGUGGUACCUGGACAUUUUGAGUAUAUGUUCACUAACAAAACUAUUCUCCUCCAUCUUACAGCUGUAGAACUUAUUGGAGACUUCAUAUCUCUCAAUCCGGGCAUUUGCUUGAAAAUUUUACUUCGACUCCUGGAACAUCUCAUAUGCUCCAUGAUGUUCAAAACGUUGUUGAAGUCCCGAUUCUAAGCCGUAAAGCAUGGCACACUAAACUAUCGAGUAGUCAUCGGCUUUGCUCUACCAGACGUUCAUAAUGUCCGGUGUUGCUUGAUACGUCUCCGUCGUAUCUACUUUUCCAAACACUUUUGUCCUUGUUUUGGACUCUAACUUGCAUGAUUUGAAUGGAACUAACCCGGACUGACGCUGUUUUCAGCAGAAUUACCAUGGUGUUAUUUAUGUGUAGAAAUAAAAGUUCUCGGAAUGACCUGAAACUUCAGGGAACGUCUUUUUGGAAAUAAUAAAAAAUCCUUGCAAAAGAUGAAGACCAGGGGGCCCACACCCUAGCCACGAGGGUGGGGGCGCGCCUGCCCCCCUAGGCGCGACCCCUACCUUGUGGGCCCCCUGGAGCUCCUCCGACCUCAACUCCAACUCUAUAUAUUUGCUUUCAGGGAGAAAAAAAUUAGAGAGAAGGAUUCAUCGCGUUUUACAAUACAGAGCCGCCGCCAAGCCCUAAAACCUCUCAGGAGGGCUGAUCUGGAGUCCGUUCGGGGCUCCGGAGAGGGGAAUCCGUCGCCAUCGUCAUCAUCAACCUUCCUCCAUCACCAAUUUCAUGAUGCUCACCGCCGUGCGUGAGUAAUUCCAUCAUAGGCUUGCUGGACGGUGAUGGGUUGGAUGAUAUUUAUCAUGUAAUCGAGUUAGUUUUGUUAGGGUUUGAUCCCUAGUAUCCACUAUGUUGUGAGAUUGAUGUUGCUAUGACUUUGCUAUGCUUAAUGCUUGUCACUAGGGCCCGAGUGCCAUGAUUUCAGAUCUGAACCUAUUAUGUUUUCAUCAAUAUAUGAGUGUUCUUGAUCCUAUCUUGCAAGUCUAUAGUCACCUACUAUGUGUUAUGAUCUGGCAACCCCGAGGUGACAAUAAUAGGGACCACUCCCGGUGAUGACCGUAGUUUGAGGAGUUCAUGUAUUCAUUAUGUGUUAAUGCUUUGGUCUGGUACUCUAUUAAAAGGAGGCCUUAAUAUCCCUUAGUUUCCGCUAGGACCCCGCUGCCACGGGAGGGUAGGACAAAAGAUGUCAUGCAAGUUCUUUUCCAUAAGCACGUAUGACUAUAUUCGAAAUACAUGCCUACAUUACAUUGAUGAAUUGGAGCUAGUUUUGUGUCACCCUAGGUUAUGACUGUUACAUGAUGAACCGCAUCCGGCGUAAUUCUCUAUCACCGAUCCAUUGCCUACGAGCUUUCCAUAUAUUGUUCUUCACUUAUUUACUUUUCCGUUGCUAUUGCUAUCAUCACUACAAAAUACCAAAAACAUUAAUUUUGCUAUCGUUACCUUUUGCUACCGUUACCACUACUAUCAUAUUACGUUGCUACUAAACACUUUACUACAGAUAUUAAGUUUCUAGGUGUGGUUGAAUUGACAACUCAACUUUCAACUGCUAAUACUUGAUAAUAUUCUUUGGCUCCCCUUGUGUCGAAUCAAUAAAUUUGGGUUGAAUACUCUACCCUCGAAAACUGUUGCGAUCCCCUAUACUUGUGGGUUAUCAAGACUAUUUUCUGGCGUCGUUGCCGGGGAGCAUAGCUCUAUUCUUUGAGUCACUUGGGAUUUAUAUCUGUUUAUCAUUAUGAAGAACUUGAGAGAUCCAAAAACCAAGAUUUAUCUCUCAACUACGAGGGGAGGUAAGGAACUGCCAUCUAGCUCUGCACUUGAUUCACCUUCUAUUUUGAGUAAGCUUGCGACACCUAAACCUGCUUCUGCUAUUCAUUCUGAUAUGUCGCAUGUUAUUAAUGAUGCCACUUGUGCUAUGCAUGAUACUUAUGAUGAAACUACUUCUAUGCUUGAUACUACUGUGCCACUUGGUGAAUUUCUUGAUGAACAACUUGCUAGGGUUAGAGAGAAUGAAAUUAUUGAAACUGAUAAUAUAUAUAUAUAUAUUUGAAUAUAUACUGUAGGGUAAAACCCCCACAGCCCUUUAUUGCAGUCUCAAAAAACAAACUGUACAGUGAAAGAAAGAGAUGACAAGCCUAAACGAAAAGUUAAGAAGAACUUACAAUUACAUGAGGGAGUUAACUCAAUCUACAAGCCUAGACUUAGAGCUAUCCUUAAACCUAUGUGACAGGAGAAGAAUGUCAUGUACAAAACUGCCCCUCCAGGCAACAAAAGUAGCCCGUAGUCCCCUGAAAGUUCUUCCAUUUCUCAGAAUCCAUAUAUUCCAAGCAGCUGUGAGCAUAACUUCAAAGAAGAAAGGAUACCCAAAUCGCUGCCUUGCUUGAGAUAUACAUUGCUGAAUAGAAGAACCAUGUGACCAAUCGAUCUGCAGGUAUUUCCAAACCCUGGCACUGAAAUUACAACCAAAGAAUAGGUGAGCCCUGUCCUCCCAAACAAAGGCAUUACAGAUGACACAUAGAUGAUCAGCCGUAGGGGACCUCCGGUGGCUGCGGACCAGCACGUCCUUUGUGUUGAGUCUGUCAAAGAAUAGGAGCCAGCCAAAAACCUUAAUUUUCAUAGUACAUAUGCUCUGCCAAAGCCACCUGCAGGGUUUAAUAGUUGGGAGGUGUGUAUGCAUGAUGUCAUAGAAGCUCUUUGCAGAAAACUGUCCAGAUUUACCAGGCCAAAUCCAAACAUCAGGCAAUGUUGGAUCUCUCUGGAGAUUGAACAUCCUUCCUUCCAAGGAUUCCAAUUCUGCUGCUGCCUGCUGAGAAAUUGGCAGAUGAAACAUUGAGAACAAAUCCUGGGUUUGCAAAAACUCCCUGACAGAAACCUUAUCAUCCAAAACAAAAGAGAAAAGCCUUGGUAAUCUGAGGCUUAGUGGCCUUGAAGAGCCACCUACAUGGCAAGCAUCCAGCCAAAAGAGAGCAGAAUCACCCAUAUUAACUGGCACUGAAGCAAUUGACCUAUAAGUGUCAGCAAGCUUGAGAAUGUCCUUCCACCAAAAGGAGCCAGUUAGGACUGUUGCAUGGGGCACCACUCCAUCAUAAUAACUAUCCCAAAUCAACUGGACCCAAGGAAUCUGCUGUUUGUUGUAGAACUUAUGCAUUUGUUUGAGAAGCAGACCUUGAUUUUGAACAUUGAGGUUGAGAAUGCCAAGUCCUCCCUUAUCCUUUGGUCUGCAAACUAAAUCACAGGCAGCUAGGGAUUGCUUAGGCACAUCAGAAUUUCCUCUCCACAAACACUGCCUGAAAAUCCUAUCCAACUGUUUGAUAAUACCAGGUGGGAUAUGCAAGCUGCAGAGGAAGUAUAUGGGCAUUGAAGUAAGCACAGAUGUGAGAAAUUGUAACCUGGAUCCUUGGUUGAGCAUGGCAGAGCUAACAGACAGUCUUCUUUCAAGACUAUCCACUAAAGGCAUGAAAUCAAUGAUUCUAGGUCUUGUUGUACCAAGAGGCAAACCCAGAUAUGUGAAAGGUAACUGCUCCGGUUUACAUCCCAGGAUGGAAGACAACCUCUGUGCCUCUGUGGGAUCAACAUUUAGUGGCACCAUUGAAGACUUUCCAAAAUUUACCUUUAGGCCAGUAGACUGUUGGAAAAUAUGGAGCAUGUUCUUGAGAGCCACCAACUGGUCCUGUACUGCAGAAAGGAUAAUUAUUGUGUCAUCUGCAUACUGAAUGAUAGGAAAUUCAGGGUCCUAAGAUGGGAUUGGAAGUGUUAGAACUCCCUUAGCCAGCAUGUUAUUGACCAUUGUUUGAAGAAGAUCGGCAGCUAUGACAAAUAAAAGAGGGGAUAGGGGAUCCCCCUGCCUGACCCCACAUUUAUAUUUGAACUGUUUGCCAGGCACCCCAUUAAGCAAAACAGAUGAUGAUCCUGAGGAGAGAAUCUCUUUAAUCCAAGAAAUCCAUUUGGCAUCAAAACCUUUGUGCUGUAGAACUUGCAAGAUGAAGUCAUGCUCCACAGUGUCAAAAGCUUUGGCAAAAUCCAAUUUCAAAAUGAUGGUUGGCCUUUUGGAUUGAUUGCAUUGAUGUAUAUAUUCAAAAGCCCAAGCCAGGCAGUCCUGAAUGGCUCUGCUCUUCAAAAACCCAUAUUGAUUCUUAUGGAUGCAUUGCAGAAUGACCUUUUGAAGCCUAUUUCCCAAAAGCUUAGUAAGGAACUUGAGGCAUGUGUUAGUAAGAGAGAUUGGUCUAAAAUCCUCAAGUCCUUCAGGAGACAACAUCUUUGGAAUUAAGGUGAUAAGGGAUCCAUUAAUAUUUUCCAAAGAUAGCCUCCCAUCAUAAAACCCCUGAAUGAGAGCCAAGAAAUCCUUCUCAAUGAUGGGCCAACACUUCUUAACAAAAAGACCAUUAAAACCGUGAAAGUGAUGAUGAAGAUUCUCCCCCUAAUAAAUAUGAAUUGCCUGUUGUGCCUGAGGGCUAUGUUAUGGAUGAAGAAAUUGCUAAAGCUAUUUUUGUUUGCAAAGAUAGAUAUGAUCUUAAGAAGUUAUUAGCUAAAUGGAAGCAGCAAUCUCUUAAUGCUAGAAUGAAACCUGACCCUGCUUUUGCUACUUCACCUAUCUGUGUUACUGAUAAGGAUUAUGAAUUCUCUGUUGAUCCUGAUAUAAUUACUUUGGUUGAAUCUGAUCCUUUUCAUGGCUAUGAGUCUAAAACUGUUGUGGCACAUCUUACUAAAUUAAAUGAUAUAGCCACCCUAUUCACUAAUGAUGAGAGAACUCGUUACUUUUAUAUCCUUAAAAUAUUCCUGUUCUCAUUAAAGGGUGAUGCUAAGAUAUGGUUUAAUUCUCUUGAUCCUGGUUGUGUGCGUAGUCCCCAGGAUAUGAUUUAUUACUUCUCUGCUAAAUAUUUCACUGCUCAUAAGAAACAAGCUGCUUUGAGGGAUAUAUAUAAUUUUGUGCAAAUUGAAGAAGAGAGUCUCCCACAAGCUUGGGGGAGGCUUCUCCAAUUACUUAAUGCUUUGCCUGAUCAUCCUCUUAAGAAAAAUGAAAUAUUGGAUAUAUUUUAUAAUGGACUAAGUGAUGCUUCCAGAGAUUACCUGGAUAGUUGUGUUGGUUCUGUUUUCAAGGAAAGAACACCGGAUGAAGCUGAAAUUCUAUUGAAUAAUAUGUUGACAAAAGAAAAUAAUUGGACACUUCCUGAGCCAGCUCCUGAGCCUAUUCCUAAACCAACUCCGAAGAAGAGGGGUAUUCUAUUUCUCAGUCCUGAAGAUAUGCAAGAGGCAAAGAAAUCCAUGAAAGAAAAGGGUAUUAAAGCUGAAGAUGUUAAGAAUUUACCUCCUAUUGAAGAAAUACACGGUCUUAAUUUACCGCCUGUUGAAGAAACAUAUGAUCUUAAUCCAUUACCUAUUGAAGAAAUACAUGGUCUUGAUAACCCGACACAAGUAGUAAAGGUAAACUCUCUCUAUAGAUAUGAUAAAAUUGAAAUCCCUCUUACUAAGUUUGCUAGCCAAUGCUUAGAUGAGUUUGAUAAUUUUAUGGUGAAGCAAGAAGAUUUUAAUUCUUAUUUUGGUAGACAAUUGAAAUACAAUUCAAAUAUGCUUGAACACUUGGGUGAUUAUAUGGCUAAUGUUAAAGGUGAAAUUAAACUUAUUAGCAAACAUGCUUCUAUGGUUACCACUCAAGUAGAACAAGUACUUAAAGCUCAAAAUGAUUUGCUCAAUGAACUGAAUAGUAAGAAUAAUGAUAAUGCUGUUAGAGUUAUGACUAGAGGUGGUAAAAUGACUCAAGAACCUUUGUAUCCUGAAGGCCAUCAUAAGAGAAUUGAGCAAGAUUCUCGGAGAAAUAAUAUAGAUGCACCUAGUUCUUCUAAAAGGAAGAAAAAGAAAAAUGAUAGGACUUUGCAUGCUUCUAGUGAACCUAUUGAUGAAACACCUGAGAAUCCAAAUGAUAUUUCUAUUUCUGAUGCUGAAACACAAUCUGGUAAUGAACCUGAAACUAGUGAUAAUAUUAAUGAUAAUGUUCAUGUUGAUGCUCAACCUAGCAAUGAUAAUGAUAUAGAAAUUGAACCUGUUGUUGAUCUUGAUAACCCACAAUCAAAGAAUCAACGUUAUGAUAAGAGAGACUUUGUUGCUAGGAAACAUGGUAAGGAAAGAGAGCCUUGGGUUCAGAAACCCAUGCCUUUUCCUCCCAAACCAUCCAAGAAAAAGGAUGAUGAGGAUUUUGAGCACUUUGCUGAAAUGAUUAGACCUACCUUUUUGCGUAUGCGAUUAACUGAUAUGCUUAAAAUGAAUCCUUAUGCUAAGUACAUGAAAGAAAUUGUUACUAAUAAAAGAAAGAUACCGGAAGCUGAAAUUUCCACCAUGCUUGCUAAUUAUACUUUUAAAGGUGGAAUACCUAAGAAACUAGGAGAUCCCGGAGUACCAACUAUACCAUGCUCCAUUAAAAGAAAUUAUGUUAAAAUUGCUUUAUGUGAUCUUGGAGUCGGUGUUAGUGUUAUGCCUCUCUCUUUAUAUCAUAGACUUGAUUUGAAUAAGUUGACACCUACUAAAAUAUCUUUGCAAAUGGCUGAUAAAUCAACUGCUAUACCUAUCGGUAUUUGUGAGGAUGUGCCUGCUGUGGUUGCAAACGUUACUAUUUUAAUGGACUUUGUUAUUCUUGAUAUUCCCGAGGACGAUAGUAUGUCUAUUAUUCUUGGAAGACCCUUUUUGAAUACUGCAGGGGCUGUUAUUGAUUGCAACAAAGGCAAUGUCACUUUUCAUGUUAAUGGUAAUGAGCAUACGGUACACUUUCCGAGGAAACAACCUCAAGUCCACAGUAUCAAUUCUAUUGGAAAAAUUCAAUCGAUUAUUUUUGAAGGUUUUGAAUUUCCUCUUCCUACUGUCAAAAGAAAUAUGAUAUUCUUAUUAUUGGGGAUGUGCAUAUCCCCGUUGAGGUAACAUAGUGUUAUUCGAAAUUCCUCCGGUUCCAUGUUAUUCGGAAUGAGUUUGCUAACAAGACUUGAUCAACCAUGUUAACGGAUUCCUUUUGAUGAGCAUGAGAUGGAUGAAACUAGAAGGCACAACUCUCCGUACCCUCCUUUUACUUUCUGUUAUUUAUAUUAAAUAAAAUUAAAAGAAGUAUUUUCCGUCUGUUAUCUGAUUUAUCCGUGCAAUAUAAAAUACCCCGAAAAUAAAAGUUCUCCAAAUGCCUUGAAAUUUAAAUAUGAUUUUUUCUGGAAUAUUUGAGAAUAUUUGGCACUAAGAACACAACACAGGGGGCAUCCACCUGGCCACGAGAGUGGAGGGCGCGCCCUACCCCCCCUGUGCGUGCCCCUUGCCUCGUGGGCCCACGGUGGCCCUCCUCCACUUAUUCCUGCACCCACACACUCCUUCCUCCCAUAAACACGAUUAUCCAGUUCGAACCCAAGUCCAAGCUCAUUUUGCUGCUAUUUUCGAUCUCCUUGCUCAAAGCACCUCUCACAAAACUGCUUGGGGGGAUUGUUCCUUGGUAUGCGACUCCUCCAUUGGUCCAAUUAGUUUUUGUUCUAGUGCUUUAUUCAUUGCAAAUUUAUGUUGUCUAGGUGCCCAUGUUCCUGAGCUUGCAUGUCAAAUUUAUGUGGUUCCAACUAGUUUUGAUGCAUGAUAUAGGCUCUAGGCACUUGUAGGAGUUGUUGCUAUCAAUUUUGUUGAGCUUGGCUCACUUUUAUUUGAAGUUACUAAAAAUUUCAGAAUUUUUCAGAAAAUAAUGAAGAGAUUUUUGAGGGGCUCAUCAAGCCGAAGCUCGAAGGAAAAGCAAAAUGAAAAAGCAGAGAGGCCCGAAUAUAAUCUGCCUCGCACCGCAGAGGUUCGGCCGUGUGAAUGGCCUUCCAAUGAUUUCUUGAGAGCAGUCGGGAUUUAUGAUGAUUUUUAUGAAUUGGCUGAGAAUGUAGGCCUCACCGCCUUCCUCCAUGACCAACGCGAACAAUAUCUCUUACUCACCAAUAUCUUUGUGCAAAACUUUCAUUUCCAUGCUAGGAGCUCACCACCUACGGUGGAGUUUUAUUUGUAUGAUGAGCACAAGGAGAUGUCACUUUACGAUUUCUGUCGGGUUUGAUUGAUCCCUUUCGAGGGCACAAUAGAGGAACCACACCGCGGUGAUGUGGAUGGGUUUAUAGAUACCAUCACUGUAGGGGAAACGAGGAAGGUUUCCGAUGCACGAAUCACUAGCAUACAUUUUCCUGUUUUACGCUACUUUGCAAUAUUUGCUAGUCGUUGCUUAAUUGGUCGCGAAAACUGUGGAAACCUUAGUGUUCCUGAUAUUAUUAUUUUGUUCCACGGUUUAUUCUGUGAUAAAUCUGUUAGUAUGGGCGGUAUUAUUGCUAAACGGUUAAGUCUCAACUGUACAAAGGGCCCCAUCUUUGGAGGCAUCUAUGCUUCACGCCUAACUGCGCAUUUUAACAUACCUAUUAAGCAUUAUGAGAAGGAAGAAAAAUUGCUGCCCCUGUUUAUUUAGAUUAUAAGAGUAUGGUGGCACACGAUUUUAUUGUUAAGAAUAGGAAAGGGGAGCUUAAAUACAAAUUGUUCUUUGAUAAACAUCAUCCUGAGACUAUUACCCUGCCUACUCCUUCCUUGUUUGAUUUAUCUCCAGGCAAGUACCUUGUUCCGUUAGAGGCUAUUCACGCCUACCGGAACAUUGCAUCAGCCACAGAGCCAGAGUCGGAACCACUAGUUGAUCCUCCACGACAGUCUAAUUACCAUUGGGAUCCAGAAAUGAUAGCCACCAGUGGAAAUCAGAGUCUUCUUCGCAGUACGACCCCAACUAUUACUAUGGAUAUCCGCCAGGCCAGCCGUGGCCAUAGACCAACUUAGGUCAAAAGCCUAAACUUGGGGGAGUACGUAUUUCCCGCCGACAUUACAUUCAUGUUCGCACACUCAUUGCUAGAUGUCGGUGCUCAUACUUUUUCAUUGUAUCAUCCAUGCUAGUUCAUUUCCUUUUUAAGCUUUCUUCUUGUGUGUUUAAUAAACCUUAAGAAAAACCAAAAAAACUAGUUGUAGCUUUUAGCUAGUUUUAAUUUCCAUGCUUGUAGUAGUAAUUAAAAAGAAAACCCAAAAAAAGAUUUCUUGUUCUUGUUUUGCUCGUUGGGAGCUUUCCCGUGUAAAUAGUUUUAUUUCUUUUCUUUGGGGGUCGAUAGGAGAAUACCAUGAUUAAAUUGUUGAAGUGGCUCUUAUAUAUAUUUUUUAUCUGACAAAAGAGCCCAUAUUGCCUUGUCUUCUCCAGUUUAUUGAAUGCUUGCAGAUUCCAGCUUAGUCCAAUGCACGCGCACUAUUAUUAUUAUCCACAUCGUUCGGUCGUGCAAGUGAAAGGCAAUUAUGACAAUAUAUGAUGGACUGACUGAGAUGAGAAAAGCUGGUAUAAACUCAACCUCUCUUGUUUUUGUAAAUAUGAUUAGUUCAUCGUUCCUGAUUCAGCCUAUUAUGAAUAAACAUGUUUGCAAUGACAACUAGAGAUCAUAGUUUCUUGUGCCAUGCUUGAUUAGCUAGGAGCUUAUAAUGGUUUACCUUGCGUGCCAACAUGCUAUUAAAAUGGUUGUGAUGUGGUAUGAUAGGGUGGUAUCCUCCUCUGAAUGAUUUGAGUGGCUUGACUUGGCACAUGCUCACGCAUGUAGUUGAAAUAAAAUCAACAUAUCCUCUACGAUAUUUAUGUUCAUGGGGAAUUAUAUCCUACUCAUGCUUGCAUUUGGUGUUGAUUAAUUUUAAUGCAUGUUUAUGAGUGUUGUCGCUCUCUAGCUGGUUGCUUCCCAGUCUUUUGCUAGCCUUCACCUGUACUAAGCGGGAAUACUGCUUGUGCAUCCAAUCCCAUAAACCCCAAAGUUAUUCCAUAUGAGUCCACCAUACCUACCUAUUUACGGUAUCUACCUGCCGUUCCAAGUAAAUUUGUAUGUGCCAAACUCUAAACCUUCAAAUAAAUAUCAUGUUUUGUAUGCUCGAAUAGCUCAUGUAUCAACUAGGGCUGUCUGUAUCUUCCAUGUUAGGCGGGUUAUUCUCAAGAGGAGUGGACUCCGCUCCUCACUCACGAGAAAAUGGCUGGUCACCGGGAUGCCCAGUCCCAUGCUUUAUGCAAAUCAAAUCAAAAUAAUUGCAAACAAAACUCUCCCUAGGACUCUUGUUAGUUGGAGGCACUCGUUGUUUUGAGCAAGCCAUGGAUUGAUGCUUGUUAGUGGAAGGGGAGUAUAAACUUUACCAUUCUGUUUGGGAACCGCCUAUAAUGUGUGUAGCAUAGAAUAUAUCGCCCUCUCUUGGUUGUUAUGUUGACAAUGAAAGUAUACUGCUCAAAAUAUUAUUCACCUCUAUUUCAAAACCGAGCUCUGGCACCUCUACAAAUCCCUGCUUCCCUCUGCGAAGGGCCUAUCUAUUUACUUUUAUGUUGACUCAUCAUCCUCUUAUUAAAAAUCACAAGUUGGAGAGCACCGCUGUCAUUUGCAUUCAUUACUGUUAGUUUACAUUGAGUAUGACUGGACUGGAUCUCUUUUACCAUGAAUUACAAUGUCUAGUCAGUCCUUGAUCUUUAAAGGUGCUCUGCAUUUAUGUUUUGCGGUCUCAGAAAGGGCUAGCGAGAUACCAUCUUGUUAUAUCAUAUCAUGAUUGUUUUGAGAAAGUGUUGUCAUCUGAGAUUUAUUAUAUUGCUCGCUAGUUGAUUAUGCCAUUGAUAUGAGUAAACAUGAGACCUAAAUGUUAUUGUGAAUAUGGUUAGUUCAUAAUCUUUGCUGAAAACUUGAAUGCUGGCUCUACAUAUUUACAACAACAAGAGCAAACAGAGUUUGUAAAAGUUUUUCUUUAUCACUUUCAGCUUAUCAACUGAACUGCUUGAGGACAAGCAAAGGUUUAAGCUUUGGGCAGUUGAUACGUCUUCGUCGUAUCUACUUUUCCAAACACUUUUGCCCUUGUUUUGGACUCUAACUUGCAUGAUUUGAAUGGAACUAGCCCGGACUUACGCUGUUUUCAGCAGAAUUGCCAUGGUGUUAUUUUUGUGCAGAUAUAAAAGUUCUCGGAAUGACCCGAAAAUCAACGGAGAAUUAUUUUGGAAUACAUAAAUAAUACUGGAAGGAAGAUCCACGUCAGGGGGGCCUCCACCUGUCCACGAGGGUGGGGGCGCGCCCUACCCCCCUGGUGCUACCUCUUGAGCACUGCGUUGGUUUUCCCUUGAAGAGGAAAGGGUGAUGCAGUAAAGUAGCGUAAGUAUUCCCCUCAGUUUUUGAGAACCAAGGUAUCAAUCCAGUAGGAGAUCACGCUCGAGUCCCACGCACCUACACAACCAAAUAAGAACCUCGCAACCAACGCGAUAAAGGGGUUGUCAAUCCCUUCACGGUCACUUACGAGAGUGAGAUCUGAUAGAUAUGGUAAGAUAAUAUUUUGGUAUUUUUAUGAUAAAGAGAAAUAAAGAUGCAAAGAAAAAUAAACGGCAAUAGAAAUAACUAAGUAUCACCUGGGCGCACCCCCUGCCUCGUGGGCCCCCUGACGCUCCACCAACCUCAACCCUGACUUCAUAUAUUCACUUUCGGGGAGAAAAAACCAGAGAGAAAGAUUCAUCACAUUUUACGAUACGGAGCCGCCGCCAAGCCCUAAACUCUCUCGGGAGGGCUGAUCUGGAGUCCGUUCGGGGCUCCGAAGAGGGGAAUCCAUCGCCAUCAUCAUCAUCAACCUUCCUCCAUCACCAAUUUCAUGAUGCUCACCGUCGUGCGUGCAUAAUUCCAUCGUAGGCUUGCUGGACGGUGAUGGGUUGGAUGAGAUUUAUCAUGUAAUCGAGUUAGUUUUGUUAGGGUUUGAUCCCUAGUAUCCACUAUGUUCUGAGAUUGAUGUUGCUAUGACUUUGCUAUGCUUAAUGCUUGUCACUAGGGCCCGAGUGCCAUGAUUUCAGAUCUGAACCUAUUAUGUUAUCAUCAAUAUAUGAGCGUUCUUGAUCCUAUCUUGCAAGUCUAUAGUCACCUACUAUGUGUUAUGAUCCGGCAACCCCGAAGUGACAAUAAUCGGGACCACUCCUGGUGAUGACCGUAGUUUGAGGAGUUCAUGUAUUCACUAUGUGUUAAUGCUUUGGUCCGGUACUCUAUUAAAAGGAGGCCUUAAUAUCCCUUAGUUUCUGCUAGGACCCCGCUUCCACGGGAGGGUAGGACAAAAGAUGUCAUGCAAGUUCUUUUCCAUAAGCACGUAUGACUAUAUUCGGAAUACAUGCCUACAUUACAUUAAUGAAUUGGAGCUAGUUCUAUGUCACCCUAGGUUAUGAUUGUUACAUGAUGAACCGCAUCCGACAUAAUUCUCUAUCACUGAUCCAUUGCCUACGAGCUUUCCAUAUAUUGUUCUUCGCUUAUUUACUUUUCCAUUGCUAUUGCUAUCAUCACUACAAAAUACCAAAAACAUUACUUUUGCUAUCGUUACCUUUUGCUGCCGUUACCACUACUAUCAUAUUACUUUGCUACUAAACACUUUGCUGCAGAUAUUAAGUUUCCAGGUGUGGUUGAAUUGACAAGUCAGCUGCUAAUAGUUGAGAAUAUUCUUUGGCUCCCCUUGUGUUGAAUCAAUAAAUUUGGGUUGAAUACUCUACCCUUGAAAACUGUUGCGAUCCCCUAUACUUGUGGGUUAUCAUUGCUCCUGCAGCGGGUCUUGCACAUAGCGGUGCUUCCAGGACGUAAUUCUUCUGUGUAGCAAUGAGGAUAAUCCUCAAGUUACGGACCUAGUCCAUGUAGUUGCUACCAUCAUCUUUCAACUUAGGUUUCUCUACGAACGCAUUAAAAUUCAAAGGGACAUUAGCACGGGCCAUUGAUCUACAACAACAUAGACAUGCAAACUACUAUCAGGUGCUAAGUUCAUGAUAAAUUAAAGUUCAAUUAAUCAUAUUACUUAAGAACUCCCACUUAGAUAGACAUCCCUCUAGUCAUCUAAAUGAUCACGUGAUCCAUAUCAACUAAACCAUGUCCGAUCAUCUCGUGAGAUGGAGUAGUUUCAAUGGUGAACAUCACUAUGUUGAUCAUAUCUACUAUAUGAUUCACGCUCGACCUUUCGGUCUCAGUGUUCCGAGGCCAUAUCUGCAUAUGCUAGGCUCGUCAAGUUUAACCCGAGUAUUCUGCGUGUGCAAAACUGGCUUGCACCCGUUGUAUGUGAACGUAGAGCUUAUCACACCCGGUUAUCACGUGGUGUCUCGGCACGACGAACUAUAGCAAUGGUGCAUACUCAGAGAGAACACUUGUACCUUGAAAUUUAGUGAGAGAUCAUCUUAUAAUGCUACCGCCGUACUAAGCAAAAUAAGAUGCAUAAAGGAUAAACAUCACAUGCAAUCAAAAUAAGUGAUAUGAUAUGGCCAUCAUCAUCUUGUGCCUUUGAUCUCCAUCUCCAAAGAACCGUUAUGAUCACCAUCAUCACCGGCUUGACACCUUGAUCUCCAUCGUAGCAUCGUUGUCAUCUCGCCAACUAUUGCUUCUACGACUAUCGCUACCACUUAGUGAUAACGUAAAGCAAUUACAUGGCGAUUGCAUUUCAUACAAUAAAGCGACAACCAUAAGGCUCCUGCCAGUUGCCGAUAACUUUUACAAAACAUGAUCAUCUCAUACAACAACUUAUAUAUCAUCACGCAAAAACAAGUUAGACGUCCUCUACUUUGUUGUUGCAAGUUUUACGUGGCUGCUACAGGCUUCUAGCAAGAACCGUUCUUAUCUACGCAUCAAAACCACAAUGAUUUUUCAUCAAGUGUGUUGUUUUAACCUUCAACAAGGACCGGGCGUAGUCAAACUCGAUUCAACUAAAGUUGGAGAAACAGACACCCAGUAGCCACCUGUGUGUGAAGCACCUCGAUGGAACCAGUCUCAUGAACGCGGUCAUGUAAUGUCGGCCUGAGCUGCUUCAUCCAACAAUACCGCCAAAUCAAAGUAAGACGUUGCUGGUAAGAAGUAUGACUAUUAUCGUCCACAACUCAUUGUGUUCUACUCGUGCAUAUAACAUCUACGCAUAGACCUGGCUCGGAUGUCAUUGUUGGGGAACGUAGUAUUUCAAAAAAAAUCAUACGAUCACGCAAGAUAUAUCUAGGAGAAGCAUAGCAAUGAGCGGGGAGAGUGUGUUCACGUACCCUCGUAGACCGAAAGCGGAAGCGUUUAGUAACACGGUUGAUGUAGUCGAACGUCUUUGCGAUCCAAUCGAUCCAAACACCAAACGUACGACACCUCCGCGUUCAGCACACGUUCAGCUUGAUGACAUCCCUCGAGCUCUUGAUCCAGUUGAGGCCGAGGGAUAGUUCCGUCAGCACGAUGGCGUGGCGACGGUGAUGAUGAAGUUACCGGCGCAGGGCUUCGCCUAAGAACUACGACGAUAUGACCGAGGUGUGUAACUGUGGAGGGGGGCAACGCCCACGGCUAAGAGAAACUUGUGUCUUUGGGGUGCCCCCCUCCCACGUAUAUAAAUGGGGGGAGGAGGCCGGCCCAAAGGGGGGCGCGCCACAUGUUGGGGGUCCUACUAGGACUCCCUAGUCCUAGUAGGAUUCCCCUCUCCUUUCCUUUUACGGAAGGGGGAAAGGGGGGAAGGAGAGGAGGGGAAGAGGGAAAGGGGGCACGCCCCCUCCCCUUCCUAUUCGGACUCCACUUGGGGGGACGCGCACGCCUCCCCCUUGUGGGUUGUACCCUCUUCUCUCCCAUGGCCCAUAAGGCCCAUGAUUUCCCCCGGGGGGUUCCGGUAACCUCCCGGUACUCCAGAAAAAUGCUCGAAUCACUCGGAAUCAUUCUGAUGUUUGAAUGCAACCUUCCAAUAUAUGAAUCUUUACCUCUCGACCAUUUCUGUGAUCUCAUCCGGGACUCCGGACAAACUUCAGUCAUCAAAUCACAUAACUCAUAAUACAAAUUGGCACGAACGUUAAGCAUGCGGACCCUAUGGGUUUGAGAACUAUGUAGACAUGACUGAGACACAUCUCCGGUCAUUAACCAAUAGCGGAACCUGGAUGCUCAUAUUGGCUCCUACAUAUUCUACGAAGAUCUUUAUCGGUCAAACCGCAUAACAACAUACGUAGUUCCCUUUGUCAUAUGUAUGUUAUUUGCCCGAGAUCCGAUCGUCGGUAUCCCCAUACCUAGUUCAAUCUCGUUACCGUCAAGUAUCUUUACUUGUUCCGUAAUGCAUCAUCAUGUAACUAACUCAUUAGUCACAUUGCUUGCAAGGCUUAUAGUGAUGUGCAUUACCGAGAGGGCUUAGAGAUACCUCUCUGAUACACGAAGUGGCAAAUCCUAAUCUCGAUCUAUGCCAACUCAACAAACACCAUCAGAGACACCUGUAGAGCAUCUUUAUAAUCACCCAGUUACAUUGUGACGUUUGAUAGCACACUAAGUGUUCCUCCGGUAUUCGGGAGUUGCAUAAUCUCAUAGUCAUAGGAACAUGUAUAAGUCAUAAAGAAAGCAAUAGCAAUAAAAUUAAACGAUCAUUAUGCUAAGAUAACGGAUGGGUCUUGUCCAUCACAUCAUUCUCUAAUGAUGUGAUCCCGUUCAUCAAAUGACAACACAUGUCUAUGGUUAGGAAACUUAACCAUCUUUGAUUAACGAGCUAGUCUAGUAGAGGCAUACUAGGGACACUCUGUUUGUCUAUGUAUUCACACAUGUACUAAGUUUCUGGUUAAUACAAUUCUAGCAUGAAUAACAAAGAUUUAUCAUGAUAUAAGGAAAUAUAAAUAACAACUUUAUUAUUGCCUCUAGGGCAUAUUUCCUUCAGGAAGAGCAUCGCGGGUGGGAGGGAGAAGGGGAAUUAAGAGAGUGUGGGUUUGGGUUUGGGCCUCCGCGUGCUAUGUGUACACAUGUGUUGGUGGGUCGAUAGUAGUGGUCCUGGGUUUAUACCCCACGCUACUACUAUGGCCUAUCCCGGGGGUACGGUAGAGACCGCUUAGUAGUAGCGAGGGAUUUAUACCCCUCACUACUACUAUCAACUUAGUAGUAGUGAGGGAUUUAUACCCCUCGCUACUACUAUCAACUUAGUAGUAGUGAGGGAUUUAUACCCCUCGAUACUACUAUGGCCAGUCCCGGGGGGCACGGUGGAGACCACUUAGUAGUAGUGUGGGGUUUAUACCCCUCGCUACUACUAUCAACUUAGUAGUAGUGUGGGUUCUAUACCCCUCGCUACCAAUAAUUAGCAGCAGUGUGGCCCAUAUACCCCUCGCUACGGUUAAGCAUCUAUCUAUAAAGUAUUUUCUAGUAGUGCAUCGAUGGCGGCGAAAUCAGUCGUUCUGCUUGUUUUCCCUACUAGCUCUCUGACGUCCAGAACAAGUUUACGGUCAUAAGGUGCAAUAACCUUGCCUUCAUGAGUGACACGAUGACACGGGAACAGGCUUCCAAGCCUAUGGUGUCGCAUCAUGUCGUGGUCUGCUAGACUUAGUGGACGAAUGCUACUACAAUAUCGGUUGAUCUCAUACUACAAUACCAAGGAAGACACGCAACUACUAUAUAUAUUUCUUCAAGUCAGUCAACACAAGUAAAAUCUGGGAGUUCAACUGGUGCAGCUAUGCAAUGCUAAUGGAGACAACACAAUUCAACUUUAGCACUUCACACAUAAGCAACACCACGUUCAAUGGCACACACCUUAGAGUGUACCUAUGGUGGUUGAUUGGGCUAUAAGAAAUGUGAGUCCAUGUGAAGAUGCCAAAUAUAAUAACACGGCUAAUUACACAUGCAGUGGCAGCAGCAACAAGUGCAUGAAUUCCACAAAUGAUCUAGGGUACACAUGCAACUGUGUCCUUGAGUAUGACAACAACCCUUAUCUUCUAGACAAAUGCAUGGUAUGCUACUAAUUUAUUUGCUAAAUAUUCCAAUGAAUUGUGUCCUUUACUUUGUACAUACCCAAUUAUAAUAUUUUAUUUUGCUAAUACAAUGUAGCCUUCAAUUUAAACCAAGGUUUGCAUCCAUUAAUUAUGUUAGGUUCAUAUGACUUCACUACAUAAAUAGGUAGAUAAUGCAUAAGACUGAGAUUGUAGCUAGGGAUGAAAAUCUAAAUACGGCAUGAAUCUAACAAUUAUGAGUAAUGUCUUUGUGACAAGAACUUUCUUUGUCUUUUAUUCCCAUGUUUGAACUAGUAUAGGUCAGGGUUACACAUUAUGGUGCACAUCACUUUAUUUGUCAUCGUUACAUUGAACACUCAUUGACUAAACAACGAUGAUCCAUCCGUCUUGUAUUACAGGUCUUCAUUUCAUUGGCCACCGAUGCUUGUAAGACUACUCCCAGAUGGUUGUUGUUGUGGAUAUGGUUGUUGAGGUUGGUGUGGUUGCUGGGGGAAUGGUUGUUGGGGUUGCUGGGAAAUUGUUUGUUCUAGUUGCUGGGAUAAUUGUUGUUGGGGCUGCAGAAAUGGUUGUUGUGGUUGUUGUGGUUGCAGGAUGGAGGGUUGCUGGGAAAAUGGUUGUUGCGGUCGUAGGGGGAAUGGUUGUUGUGGUUGUAGAGGGAAAGGUUGUUGUGGUUGUUGAGGGAAUGGUUGUUGUGGUUGUUGGGGGAAUGAUUGUUGUGGUUGCAGGGGGAAUGGUUGUUGUGGUUGCUGGGGGAAN